rnacentral:lncRNA from 1 species
UGGUCAAGUGAGAUACUUACUGAAACAUCCUAUUGCAAAUAUCAAGUCAAGCCUUGUAUUUGUAGCUCAAGUUAAGCUGCCAGUUAUGCUUUUGUGUAACUUAAGAAUGAUGAGAAGAGAUUUCACCUCUGCUUGUAAUUAAAUACUUGGACUCAUCAAAAGUUUGAACAGAUUUUAGUUUUUCAUAUCAUAUUUCUUUAGAAGAUUCAAUAGAUAACCACAUUAGUGAACAAAAUCACCUUAGUCUACGUACACUAAUUCUACUGCUAGAUAAAGUGCCAUCCUUCCGAAACCUAGACAUUUAAAAUUCUACUUUGAGCAUAAACUUCACUUUGUCAAUUUCACGCUGAUUGUCUCUGCUGACAAAUAAGUCAUCCACAAAGAGUAGAAACACUGUAUAACUCUUCAGCACAAGUAAAAAAUGGAGGUUUGAAUCAGAGGUGCUCCCUUCUAGAAUCAGAUUUCUAUUGAGGUAAGCAUAUAUGUCACUAUUUUAAACAAAAGGAGAAUACGUUUGCUUACAAUAUAAUAAUGCAAUAGUAGUCUAUUAAAGUAUGUGAACUGUAUAGAGCAAUUGUAUUAUAUAUAAAUCAUAAACUGAAUACAAAACUGAGGCUGGAAAUGAACACACUCUCAUCGUAUUCGGCAACACCAUUUAUGAGGGAGGAUGAACGAGAGUCAGUCAUUCUGUUGUCCUGGAUUACUCCUCCACAUUCGUUCCUUCUCCCCCAAGCCCUGAGCCCUGUUUGGACUGGGACACUGCACGAUACACUCAGUGAUCCUCCAAAAUCAUUCCUGCAGCAUCAAUCAAGCUGCAAUCAUUCCUGAUACAAGCAUUAGACUCUUCUCCAAAGUAUCGAUGCGCUGCUGCAACCGGACGCGACGGCCGAUGAUUUUCGAGUCUUGCUGCAUGAGAGUCCCUAACUCUUCCGGGGACGAGAACGCUUGCAUCAUCGUUAGCUCCUGAAGGCGAUUCACUAUCGUCCUCUGCAGUGCGUAGCGGAUUUCCAAGGGUAUCUCGUCUGCGAGGCGUUCGUGCAUAAUUUUCGAAUACGCUGCAAUGCGGACCUUCAUUUCCCAUGCCUCUCGGUGCCACCCUGUCGCAGGUACUGCUUCGUUAAGAAUCAGCCCCUCACGGAUAGGUCCAACAUCUAGUUCGAUAUAUGCUUGGUUUGAGCGCCGAGCUUUUUCCACAGCAGAAUUUAUCUUCGCGAUAGUGUCCAAGUAGGAGGCAUUCGUUGUGAAGAUGACCGUUCUCUCUUUGGCCAACAUUCUCUCGACGAACUCCACAGUUGUCGUUUUGGUCUCAUUCAGGACUUGGAUUGCAAGCUUGUGGUGCCUGUCCCUCAAGUGAGGGUAGGCUUCAAAUAUAAGACUUUGAACAUGUAGCACAACUUCGGCGGCAUAUUUGAACACUCGGUCCACGAGGAAUAUGCACGUCUGGGUGAUGCUAUCGAUCUGUUUCUUCACCAACUGGUGCAAGACCGUGUGAGGCAGGAAGUCGGGAAGGGCCACUCCCUGAUGCUCCGAGAACAUCUGCCUAAUCUCGUCAGUUUGGGAUGGCUGGGACAGCCGCAGCCCAGAUUUGCCCAGGUCUUCAGCAAAUUUCGUGAAUUCCUCGUGCAAUCUUGCUGUGUAAUGAAGAGUACAAUCGUCGGGGACCAGACUGAAGUCUCCGUCCCGAACGACCUGAGUGAGCAUGUUUAGCAUUUCAUUUUGCAGUCGUAAGAAGACCGCGACGGCCUCAUUAACGCUGUCAAUGCUCCUCGGAACAUUGCUCAUCUCCUGACGCCGCUUCUGGAGCGCUUCGUGUAUUUGAUCGCGGAUGCGAGGUAAGCAUCCCCUCACCAUGUCCGAUUGUAUCUUGACGAGCCUUCGCGCAAGGGUGGGAAUGCCAACCAUGCUUCGGUCUAUGUUUCUGAGGUCCGGGUGGUCAUUAAAUAACUCUAACUCUCGACACCUUGCCACAGCUAUGCUGUCAUCGGCAGGUGUGCGGUUGCGCACGCAAACAUAACCGAGACCAAUGCUGACGGCAUCCGAGGUCACUUUCUCGAACAAUCCCUCCGGCGCUUUAUCUACCUUCGUGACAACCGCCAGCGUGCGCACGCCCUUUUUGUCCACAGUCUGAGAUAGCCGGAUGGACUCGCAGGUGGAAAAAUCAACCUCGGCUGGGAGGACGUUCAGGAUUAUGCUCUCCUCGGGUUUUAUGUAGUGCAUUAUCAUGUCACGAACCUGCUCGUAAAUAUUCUCCGGCUGCCCAUGAACUGGUACACGUGUAAUGCCGGGGAGAUCCACCAUGGUAAGGUCGGGUGCGUCCGGCUUUCGAAUGUGCAGCGAAAUCGGAGUGUUUCUGAUGUUUUUGUUGCUGCCGGCAAGGUCAUCCGUAGCGGCAUUGAUAGCUGCUUCGAUGUCGUCCUCUGAGUUGAUUCUCAUUUCUUUGACAUUUUCAUACUCCAUUAGAAUUUUGGAAUCCUGUUCGGAGAGGCAAGACUGGAGUCGAAGGAUGAGAGGCACCCUAGUAGCAAUCCCCUGCCCUCGAGGCAGCGUGAUACCUGCGAGUGACUCGAGCACGCUGCUCUUCCCGCUGCUUUGAUCGCCGACGACCACGAUCGUUGGUAUGUUCACGUUCUCCUCCGUGAUACCUUGCGUUCGGAGUUUGUCCAACACAUCUAGUAUGGGUCGUAUUUCCGAGUGGAAUGAAUUACGAAGUGCCUCUGGAUCGUAACUUUCGAUCGGGUUCACGUUGCUCACGCUAGAGACCACCAACAUGUUGUUGAUCGAGUCAUUCAUCGUUAAUUCCGACUGUUUCGACAUGUUCAAUGUUUUAUAUAAAUCGGACUUGGAAGGAAACUGGAUUAUUGCCCACCGGAUUAACAAAAGAGAACCACGGUCUGACGUUGUGAAGAACAAAGAACGUCGUUCCAAUACGAUCACACUGCGAAAUCGUGGAGGUAAGAUAAAAUCAGCGCACAGCACAACAAACCUCCUUAAAAAACUUGCAUCGAAGGCUACACAAUGACCAUCCAAUUGUGAGGUGCACAGCUCACGUAAGCUGCCGUUUCUGCGGCGAGGCUUUGCAAUUCCAAAACGGAACUGGCAUCACAGGGCAGACAGGGCCACUUUCUGCAUUUUCUUAGCCAGUUGUGUGCCAAGGCUACCAGAGCUGGAGUAAUAUCCAAGUUAAUCUAGUUGACUACUGCUGCGAAGGACACCGCACCAUCAGCAGGGAGAGGACACAAGUUGACCUGCCUGAAGACAUUUGACAUGGCUGAGACGAAUAGUUGUUUCUAUCCCCUCUGAUCAUCAGUGGAGCAUCUACUUGCUUGAGUUUCCGUGGCCCAGUAUUUGUCUAGAAGUUAUCCACCGCGGAAACAAAAGUGGAGAAAUACCCCACCAUUGGGGUCGACUAACCACUGGUACUGUGCUACAUGCACACAGAGAUGAAUCAGAAUGGGCGACAAUGUCUAUACUAGUCUCGGUAAGAAGGUGAACCUGAUGUCACAAGGCGGUUCUGCAAAGGAAAACCUCGAAAUCGCAACCUCGCUGACGGUCAGUGAACUAUCGUUGCAGGAGAUUUGUUCGCACAAGCCCCUCGCUGCUGAUUCUCCAAAGUCUACUGAUCAGUUCAACUCGGAUGCAGCUUUCCUUCCAGUCAGCUAUCGUCUCGGAGAGAACACGUUGCGAGAGAGAGUCCUAGAUGAUGAACAAGGAGGUUCAGCGCUAGUCAAAUACUACUGUGCAAAGGAAUAUCAUUCGCUUCGGCCUGAGUGGUGUUCCGAAUUGAGAUUGUUUCCAACGGAUGACUUGGCGUGACAUGCUGCUGGCUAUAUAUAGUGGCUCCGAAUGUCCUACCGCAGUAGUGGAUCUUAUUGCCUUUUACGGUGCAGUUGGGCAUUCGUAACAGGGUGGAUAAGAACUAGAUCUGUUCGUUUCCAUCACAGCUGGAUAACACGCAGAAGAGGAAGUGCGUCAUUCAUUUCCAACAAUUCCUCUCGAAUGUACUUCCUCUUCACAGAAGGAUAUCUCGAGUUAUUUCUAUUCACUGAGUUAGCUCUAUACAGUUCACAUACUUUAAUAGACUACUAUUGCAUUAUUAUAUUGUAAGCAAAUGUAUUCUGAUUGUUAUUUUGUUCAAACAGUGAAUAGUACAUCUAUCAGUGAAUGAUUAUGUGGAGGUGGCAUGAUUGUAUUCCUCUAUGAAGAGUGGAUUGUUUUUAACAAUAAAGUUAAGUACCAAAUUUUUAUAUUAUAUUUUAUUAUUAGAUAUGUUUUUUAAAGUUUUAGAAUAUAUGAAAUGUGUUUUAUUUUUAUUUCCAAUUGGUGCUUACAUCAUUUGAUUAUAGUACAUUGUUUUGUUCAUUGUAUCCUUUUAUUUGUAUAUGUAUUUAUUUAUUUAUUUUUUUUAUUUAUUGCUUGUGCUCCUUUAUGAUUUGAUUCAAAAUUAUGGUUUUCUUGCAUUUGUUUUUAAUUAGAGAUCCGUAUUUCUUGUUUAAACUUUAGAAUUUGAGCAAGCAUUAGAAGUAGUUGAUUGAUGCGUCUAGUAAGCGGACUGUUUUGGAAUUUGUGAAAGUUACUACCCGUAGUUACAUUCAAUUUUUUUAAGUUGAGGAGCAGAGGCUGUUGGAUGUGAAAAUGAGGUUUUGUGCAUAGUAGAAACAUUUUGAGUUAUUCUUGGAUGAAGAUUUCUGCGUUGCCGAUAUUACUCAUGUAAGUUCUAAAGAAUCUAUGUGUGCUUAAACUCAUCAUGAUAUUCAAUCUCUUGGCUAUAUUUGCUUGUAGUAUCAUUUAAUCCUUGAGGGUAUGUUAAGAAGUUCAUAAUAGCAAUGUUGUAUUACUUAUGUUCUUGCUUGAGAACAUAUGAGGUGUCAAUCUAUGGAUGGUUAGUAGAAAUGCAAGAACAAUCCUACCAAGUCUAAUAGAAUCUUAAAUAAUCUUAAGUAAACCUUAAUAAUCCUGAUCAAACUUUGAUUAAUCCAAAAAAUAAAAAUAAAAAAGUUAUAAAAGAAAUACAAAGAAUUCUUUAAAAAUACUAAAAUCGAAAUCUUAAUAUAAUUCUAAUUAAACAUCAACAAUUAAUGGAAUAUCAAUAAUUGAAACAUCAACAACUAAUAAUCAAGCCAUUGAUAUCAACUCAAAAUUUAUACACCUUUAAAUUUAUUACUUAGGAAUAAGAAAAAGAAAGAUGAAAUCAAUUGUACUUACUAUUUAAAAGAAAUGCAAGAUAAUGUAAUUGGGUAUUAGGUGGUUGACUUCUCUAACCUAAUGCUAAAAUUUUAAUGCCAAUAAUUUUCUUCUUAAAUCAUUAAACUACUUCUAAAUUUUAUCUAAAAUGUUGAAAAUUGAGUCUAGUAAUCUUAAAAAAAUUCAUUUCAACUUAAUUAAUAGAUUACUAAAAAUCUUAGAAAUACUUAUUAACCCUCAAAUUCCAAUUUCUGAGACCUCAACCCACAAAAACCUUCACAUAUCUUGAUCUAACUAUUCAAUUGUCUUCAAAAUUUGCACACACAUUGAUAAUUAGUACAUAAACAUAUUAUUCAAAAUUCACUUAUAUACAUACCACAAAACUCAAGAAAUCCUCAAAUUCCUAAACAAAUUUUUAUUUUUCAAAAUCUAAAGUGAUUGAGAAUAUUACUAACUUUGGAAAUUCUUCUAAAACUUGAUAUUGAUUCAAUUGAUAUGAAACUAAUGCCUAAAUAUCUCUUCUCAAGUCUAAUUUCAAAUUCUAUUCUUUGAUCUAUCAAAGAGCCUAAGAAUCACCAUGGAUAUAUGGUUUUGUACCUUGGGGUCUGAUUUUGACCAAAAUUGACAACCAAUCCUCUUUAGGUAUUAGUUCUUGGCUUCUUAAAAUAAAUUUUUCUAGAAUCUAUUCUUAAUUCUUUCUUAACAUUCUUAUAUUAUUUAAUUUUCCAAUCUACUUUUUUUUCCUUAUUUAUGGCCCUACAAAAUAAGUAGAUGCUUAUUUUAUAAAAAGGUAAUAUUCACACCCUUUUAUUUUAUUAUCUUUUCAACUAUUAUUUAUGUUUCAAAGAUAAUUUGAUCUAAUAUUUUAAAAUAAGAUCUUCUAUAAUAUAAUUUGUUUUCUCUCUUUUAUUCAUUAAUCAUAUUACAUCAGGACAUUGGAACUAUGUUAGGUUUAUUGCUGCUUCAGCUUGUAUUAACUUGCAAGAGUGAAGAUUGUUUGAUUGAAGAAAGUGGUAGAGUCCAAUAAAAAUCAGCUUAGAUUAAGUAUGCAAGCUUAGACUUUAAGAUGCUAUAAACUAUAUUAUUUAUGAAUUAGAGGUGGCAAUAGAGGUGGAGUUACUAUUUAUCUCUAUCGUUGAAAUAUGCAUAAUCAAUUGAGGUUGUUUUAGCAAUCUUAUUGAUUAUUGAGUUUUAGAUAAUAUCAUGGAUGCCAAGCAAAUCAAAUAGGAGGCACUUGCUUAUUUUGUGCUAGUAGAAAUAGUAAGAGAGAGGGCAUUGAUGACUUGAGUUAAGUCUUUUUAGUGGAGUAUUGAUGGUUUUAGCAUGGCAAUCAUUGGAGAUCAAUAUCUUACAAUAGGAUUAUAUGUUGGAAGGCACUUAGUGUGAAGGACAUGAAUCUUAAAGAAAAAAUAUUUAAAUACACUCUUAUGUCAUUCAAAAAGACUAAAAAAUUACUCAAAGAUGGUAAUUUAUUAAAUUCAAAUGGCUAUUUUCAAAGACAAGAAGACUAGAAAGUGUUGAAACAAGACUAAAGACUAGAAAGGCAUUGAUAAGAGUAAAGAAGGCUUCACUCUUGCUUCCAUAUAUACUCUCUAAUUAACAACUAUAUUGCAAUAUUCUAUAAGACCUCUAAUACAUAUUGACUUUGCUAGAUACAUGAUUUAAUUUAUAAGGUAAGUUAUCUAUAUGUGCACCACAUAGUUAGAUUGUUCUACAAGCUAUUAACACAUGUAUCACAUGGCUAAUUUGUUGAUUGAGUUUUUAGCCUACCAAUCAACUACAAACAUGUGUAAAGUUAAACCAACAUCUAUGAAGCUUCUAAGAAGCUUUUUUAGAAGAUAUUCUGAAAUUAAUUUAUUUUUAUGUACUUUUUUUCAAUUAUAUAGGUAACUAUUGAAAUAAAUAUAUAUGUUUGUAUCAUUAUCUCUCUUUCUAGGAACAAAUUCUGCGAGUAGUUAUCAUAUGUUGAAAAAAGCGAAGAUGUUAUGUCAUAUUAUAAUUACUUGUAAUAUGUAAAAAUUAGUUAGAACAUAUAAUAUGUUCAUAAGUCUUGGUGUAUGUUAGAAUGGUUCAUUGAUUAAUUUAAAGAGAGUAGAUAUAAGAAACUUUAUUUUGAGUUUUAUCUAUUUUUAUUAUAGCAUUUAAAAAAAUUAUAGAACCUAAAUAUUUAGUAUGAAGCCUUGAGAGGAGAUUAGAGCCUAAAGAUGAAAAUCUAAACUAUUAGGAGGCUUAUUAAAAGGGAUGAAAUCAAGAAGUGGUUCGAUGAAGGUAACGAAUGGAGAUCUUCAUUCUUAUUAGUCAAAGGCCAUGUCUAAUGGGCUAAAAGAAGGCUGCUUGAGGCCUUAUUAGGGAUUAGGAUUUUUCUUUUGAAGUCAUUUGAGCUUUAGAGGCUAAAGUCACCAAAUUUAGAUUUUUGGAUAUGGAUUGGAUAUAAAUUUUGUAUAAUUUGAAGUUUUUAUGAAGGAGUUAUUGGCACUCAAAGUUAAGGUGCCAAUUUCAUACCUAUUCUCACUCUUUUGGACAUAACAUACGUUUACAGAGAGCAAAAAAGACUUGGUGACUAAGAUUGAAAAGAGCAUUUUGUUUAUUAUACUUUUCAUAUACUAUUUGAUGAAUUUGGAGUUUGGAUAUAGAAGUUAUAGAGAAUUAAAGUCAAUGCAUUCAAAUCAAAAGCAAUAAGUAAAAGAUUUUGUUCAUAGUAAUGGUUGGAGCAAUAUUUUAAGUUUUUGGAUAUUUUUUUAGCUCAAACCUUUUAGAGAAGGUAGAUUAUUGUAUUAAAAAGCUAUAUAAAUAAAUUUUGGAGUAUUUAAGUGCUUAAUUUAUCAAAUAUAAAGAAAAUUACAAAGAAAUAUAUAAAUAUUAGGAUUUGAAGCUACUAUUUGGAUUUUGGUGAUAUCCUAAGUUCUACAAUGAAUUUGCAAUUGAAAUUAGUUGUAGUAGUUGUUAAAAGUACAUUAGUACUUCAUGUAAAAUUUUAGUGUGUUUGAACAGUGUGAUUUAAAGAUAUGAGUUGUUCAAAUUUGGAAUUAAUAUCCUAUGAGGAUAUAUAAGGAUUUAGAAUUUUUAAUCAUAUUUUGGAUAUUUUUGGAAACUUAAUACUUAUAUAUUUGAUAUAAUUUCUCCUAAAAGUGUAUAUAUAUAUAUAUAGAUAUAUAUAUAUAUACAAACGUGGUCUUUCUUAUCUUAAGACUUGAUUGAGCAAUUAGUGGCAACUAAGAGCCUAGUUCUUUCUUGAGGCAAACUUUCUCUGCCUUGACAACAAGAAAUUAUAUUUACUUCAUAUCUUGAUCUUUAUUCUCUUCAAAGAUGGUUGAUAAGUCCUCUCAACCAUUGAAAGCGUCCUGUACUAAGGCAAAAAAAUGACCAUAUUAUUUGAUCAAAGUUAAGGCCUUUAUAACUUCCUUCAAAUAAAACAUUUAAAAUACCAUUGGAAGUUAUUUCUACUUCUAAUAAAAUCACCAAACAUUAAAAAUCUCUUCCAAGGUCAUCAUAUCAAACAUGUUGUAUCUUGCCAUGUAUUUAAGAAAUAACAUAUUGUUCUUGAGGAUCUUCAUUUCAAUUAUGUCAUCUUGAAGGUUAUAACAAUUACAAUGUCUCAUUUGGUAACUCAAUAAAAAAUAACUCUUAAAUUGAAUGUAUUGGUUGUUAGUUCUCUAUCUCUUUUGUGCCACAAAUAUACAAAAGCUACAAAUAAGGAUGAAAGGUAGAAUGAUAUCUUCCUUGUAGCUUGUUUCUUUUAUAACAAAGAUUUGUUAUUCUUCAACUUGAUUUUGAUAGAUGUUGUUAGUGAAAAGCCUCAACAUUCUUUAUUGCAUUUGUAAGAUUUUUUGCUAGCUUCCAUAUACAUUCACUAAUAUCAGAUCCGUACUAAUGAAUAAGAUAUUCUAAUCUAUUUCAAAGUUGCCUUGAAUUUAAGACUUCUUCCACCUCAAGCUCUUAUUUAUUGUCUAUAUUUUAUAGAAAGAAGAGGCAUUUGUCUUCUUUUCAAGAUAUUCAUUGCCUUAUAUGGCUCAAAAAGAGAUGCGUAAUAUAAGAUGGAUCUUUAUAGAUUCCAAUAAAUAUAAUUAAUAAACAACUAGAUUGAUUUAUUCACAAAUAAAAAAAGAUCCAAGCCUUUGAUAGUCCAAAUUGUCACAAAAAUAAGUAGUCUUAAUAUUGUGACAAAUUAACUAUAUCUUAUAAUCAUAUUGAAUUGUAAUUAUUUCUUAUAAUAGACAUCUAUAUUAUUUCUUUUGUGGUUCUUAAGCUUCUUUCAACUACACCUUUGUUAUUACAUGUAGUUCUAAGAAAUAAUUUGCCAAAUCUUUUGUUGCAAGAUUAUCAACUUUUAAAAAAUUAAGAAUAUUAAAUCAUGGAUGAAAACUAUAAUUAAAAAAAAUAGAUUUUUGUUAAAUAGAAGAAUGUAUUAAAUUAUUGUAUGCAAACUUUACCAAUGAUAAAAGAAUUAUUCAGUAAUUUUGAUAAUAGUUAAUGGUAUACUUCAAAUAUUGCUCCAAAAUUUGAUUUAUUUGUUCUAUCUAUCCAUCAAUUUGAGAAUAAAAAGAUAAAGAUAAUUUAAUAUCCAUCUUUUGAAUCUUAAAAAGAGUUCUUCAAAAUCUUGAUACAAAUUGUAUCUCUUUAUUUGAUAUAAUAUCUUUUGGCAAUCCAUGAUAGCAAUAAAUAUUGUCAAAAAAAAGCUUAGUUGUUUUUUUCACCUAAAAUAUAUUUUGGCAUGAUAUAAAAUAUAUCAUUUUGGUGAAAUAAUCUACAAUCACAAAUAUAAAGUCAUAUAAACUUGAAUUUAAAAGAUUUAUAGUAAAAUCUAUAGAAAUAAAAGUUUGUAAUUAUUUUAAUAUAGAUAAUGGUUGUAAAAGUUCAUAGGAUCAAUGACAAAGAGUUUUUGAUCUUGAAUAUAUGUCACAUGACUGUACGAAGUCUUUUACAAUCUUCCACAUUUAUGACUGUGAGUGUAAAUUUUCACUCCUCAAUCCAAGUUACAAGAUGGCCUCAAUUAAGAGUUUUUGUAAUUGGUGGUAUGAAGUGAAGUAAGAAAAUAUCAAGAAUAAAAGAAGAACAACCACAAAGCAAUUGAAAUAAAUGACAUGAAGUAGAUACAACACUCAAAACUAAGUCUCAAUUUGUUCACUGUAUUCUCACUUAGUAAAAAUAAAAGUAAAAAAAGUUAAAAAGUAUUUUUUUACAUAUUUUAUUUUAUUUUCUUUCCAAUGACAUAAGAAACAUGUAAAUCCAAAUUAUGAUGAGUAACUUAUGAAGUUUUAAAGAUAUGAAAUAAAUAAUUAAAUAGUGAAGUAAAAAUAUUUUACUUCAAAGAUAACUUGGUUAUAGAUCAAGGGUUUGAGCCUCACUAAGUCUCACAUGUAGUAUAUAAGGGUCUUUUAGAGAGACCACGAGGCCUUAGUCAUAUCUUCCUAACUACCUUCAAGGCGCUACAACCCACAUGGAACUUGUGCACUCUUCCUUACAAGGACUACACUAGCUACUGGUCCUCCUAUUUUCUACUAGAAAGACCAACAUUUUUGUAACUUUAACCUCACCAUGGUGUUCAAAAACACCCGAUUGGCCUCGAAAUCCAUGUGUGGCUAUAGAAUAGAUAUUAGUUUGUUUUUAUAAGAUAUUGAUAAACUAGAUUAAUAGUCCAUAGAGUAGUCAGUUUAGGAGGACGGAUGAUUGAUUCAGUUAUUAAAAGCAGUUAUUAUAGGAUUACGGUUAGAAUCUAGAAAUCAGUAGCAAUUAUAUAGGAGUUGUAGAAGUUUUUUGGGGGGCUAGAUUGUGAUAGUCAUGAGUUGGAGUUAAGCUUGGUGCUUCCUCUUUGUUUCUUUUCUUUUCUUUAUUGUUGAAGAAUAAUGGAUAGUUUUUGAAUACUGAGAAGUGAGUCUAUGGAAUAAAUCAGAGAUUGAUUUAUGAGUUAUUGAUUAUGUAAUUGGAGUACUAAGUGAUUGAAUCAUAUGAAAAGUUAUUGGAAGCUUGAUUAUGGAUGGAAGAUUAUGAUUGUUAUUUAUUGAGAGUUGUGUGUGUCUGUAUUUCGACAGAGGAAGUCUGUAAUUAUAGGAAUUUUGUGAAUUCAGAUUGGUUGGAGUGAACUCUAUUAUUCGUGGUAUUGGAUGGAAUUUAUUGAGUUUUGAGUGGUCUUUUGAGAGAGCAGGAUUGCACAUUAUGGUUAUCAAUUGAUGAAGGAGUAUUGUUACUGGGAGGAAGCAUUGUAGUAUUUUUUAGUAUUUUAGUGGUUCUAUACAAUUAUUUGUGUGACCCUAAUAAGUAAAACUCAUGCGCUUAGUCUUUCCCUGUGUUCGAAUUCCUCUAUACAGUUUUAUUCUGGAAGGAAUUAUAGAAUAAGUAAAAUAACAAUCACAUUUUUGGCGCCGCUAUUGGGGAUUGACAAUAGCAUUGAGUGUUAGGAAUUAAUUACCGAAUGAGUAGAUGGAAAAUAGGAAGCAAAUUUAAUAGUAUAUAAUGAAAGGUUAUGGUUAAUAAAAAUGAGAACAUUGUACUAAAGAAAAUAUGCCAAUCGAGAGAAAGACAAGAGAGAGCGUAAGCAAGAGAAUCAUUACAAAAUGAGCAAGAACAUAAGUUAAAAUGGAAGCGGCAACAAAGUUGGAUUAAGCCAUGGUUGCAUGCGUGUCGGCAUAUCCUAGCAUAUCAAGAAGCUGACCAUUCUCUAAUAUUUCAGACAUAUAUACCGUUAAGAAAAUUGCCAAGAGCACUUGCACGAAAUUUUGUCAACAGCCUAGCGUAUCUUUUGAGCUCGAUAACUAUAAGUGGAAGAAAUACAGAAGAAUUGGGUACUCUGUUGGGUACCUUUCUAAUAGCGGAAACUGCCGAUCUUGUAAAAAUUGGUUCCAUAAAAUGACAUAAAUUGCUUGCAAAUAAGGGUCAAUUAAGUGUAUUAUAAAAUCCAUCAUUUUUACCUCCAAUUCAAUCAAUAAACUUAUUCAAGGAUAAUAAUAGUAAAUUGAGGAGGUUAAAAAGUUUGGAAAAGAUAAUUGGAGAAGGUAAUGGUAAUUUUAAUAAGAGAUUAAGCGGCACAUUGUCCUCUUCAAUGGCGACAGGUGGUUCUACGGUUCCAAUAGAAGUACAAAUCCAUGAUGUUGUCAUGAUGUAACAUGGAUAACAAGUGAAAAGGUGAAGAAAAUAUCAUGUUUUGAAGGAUCAAUUCAAAAAUAUUUUAGCAAAUUAUCUUGGAAAAAUAGAUAUUAGUCAAAGGGUAGAAAAAUUAAAGGUACUAAUGCUUUCUAUUUGCAAAUUAUGCUUCUAUUUACUUUGUAAGGCCAUAAAUAAGGCAAAAUAAGAUAGAUUAGAAAAAUAAAAGAUAUAGACAUAUGGAGGGAAGAGUUGGGAGUGCAAAUUAGUAAAAAUUACUUCAAGAAGACGAAAGUUGAUACCUGAAGAGGAUCGGUAAUGAACCUGGGUCGAAAUCAGACCCUGAGGCACAAAACUAUGCUCUGAUGGCGAUUCAAGGACUCUUUGGCAGAUCGGAGAAAGAGGUUUGAUAGAAGAUUGAAUAGGGUUUCUAUGGGUGUUGAUUUUGGGUGAUUUGGAUCUGUAUUGACUUUGUAAUAGCUUUGCAAAGUCAAGGUUUGUUUCGGAUGACUUAGAUUUUAUGAAAUAAAAUAGGGUUUAUAUUUUGGAUGAUUUCAAGAGUUUUAUUUAUAGAUCUAUGCAUGAAAUUUUGUGAGUUUAUGUUUAUAGUUGUGUUCAAUAUGUGUUGUGAAUUUGAGCUCGAUCUAACGGUUGAAUUGAAGGAUAUUGAGGUUCAAGUGGGUCAAGGUCUCAAAAGUAGAAUUUUAGGUCCAGUGAGGUUUUUUAAGAUUUCUUGCAAUCUAUUGGUUGGAUUGGAGUGAAACUUAUGUGAGAGAAUAUAAGACUUAUUUUUCUAUGUGUAUAAAAAUUUUGAGAUCAAUCGAAAGGUGCAAAGGAGAGAUAUUGGCUCUGGAAGAUUGGCAUUAAGAUUAGAAAAAGAGGCUAGCCAAUAUCCGAGCACAUUUUUGAGAAUAUCGUCAAAUUGGUAACUGCGAUCCUUAUCAAAUUUUUUAUGCUUGUUUUUAACUUAUUUUUUUAGAAGUGUGUAAAAUUUGAGUUAAGAUUAACGGUUUAUUCAUUAGUUAUUAGGAUUUAAAUCUAUUGUAGGAAUUACUAGGAUUUGGUUUAGGGUUUGGUUAGGAUUUGAUUUGGGAUUUAGGAUUUGGAUUAGGGUUUGAUUUAGGAUUUAGGAUUUGAUUUAGGAUUUAGGAUUUGGAUUAGGAUUUGAUUUAGGAUUUAGGAUUUGGUUUAGGAUUUAGUGUUUGGAUUAGGAUUUGGUUUAGGGUUUAGGAUUUAGGAUUUGGAUUAGGGUUUGGUUAAGGAUUAUGGUUUAAUUAGGAUUUGGUUUAGGAUUUAGGGAUUAUCUAAGGUUUGAUUAAGGUUGGAUUAGGAUUAGGAUUUGGUUAGAAUUUAAGGUUCUAUUAGAUUUUUGUUAGGGUUUGACUAAGUUUUUUUUAAUAUUCUUUUAUAUUUCUUUAGGAUUUCCUUGUGUUUUUUUUAUAACUUCAAUAAAAUUUAAUUGAGCUUGCUUAAUAUUUGAUUAUGAUUGUUAACAUUUAAUUGUAAAUUUUCUAUAAUCCUAUUGGAUUGUUAGGACUUUUUAUUGUAAUUUUCUUUUACCAUCCACAGCCAAGUGCUCGGUGCAUUCUCAAGCAAGACUUCACGUAAUACGACAACGUGAGUGAUCACACAAUGAGCAUGACUCCAUUACCUACUUUAAGGGGCUUUCCAGAUGCGGAUCUCGAUCAACAUUUGUCUCAAUUUUUGAUAGCAUGUGUAGCCAAUAAUGGAAGAACCAAAGAUAUUUGGUUACGAUGGUUGUUAGCAACCUUAAAGGACACGGCGUUUGAAUGGUACAACUGCCAACCAAUGGAUCAAUUUCCAAAUUGGGAAGCAUUGAAGAAUGAAUUUUAACCCAUUUUUGGCCAAUAGGUUUUCAGGAUCCUCUUUGAGAGAGGUUAAUGAACAGCAAAAUGAUCCUAGGAGAGGAAGUGGAAUCGUAUUAUGAUCGGGUGGUUGAUAUAUUCAGUAAGUGGCCAAAUCACCAAAUAUCAGAGAUAUUUAUCUUAUCCAUAUUAAUCAAUGGUUUGUAACUACUAGAGUUAAAAAUGUUUGUGAAAGAAGCUCAACACAUUACGGUGUCUACAUCCCUUAAUAGAGCCAAGGUUUGGGAGGAAUGCCAUUAUGAUCAAUUUUUAACUACGAGAGCUACGUUGACUCUAAUUCAAGGCAGUUAUCAAAAUCCGACUUGGAACAGUUCAGUGAGUACUUAUCUACGGAUAUUAGAUACAGGGACUAAUUCCAGUGCCAAUAUUCAGGGGCCAGUUAAUGUCACUCUAUUACAAGCUAUACCACCAAAUGUGACAACAAUGUAUGCUCCCUAUUUCCGUAUCAAUAGCAAGUAUUAACUACGACAGAGUUAUCAAUAAUAUCAAUCCCAAAAGAGUCUAAUGAAGCCUUGUUGUUGAACCUGACAAAGAAAAUGGAGGAAAUGGCCAUCAAUAUGACCAAGGAUAAGGAGAAGAGGCAAAAGCCUACCAAUACUAGAACCAAUGUUUGAUAAAGUAAUUGUAAGGGCCAUGGUCAUUUGGUAACAGAAUGCCCUUCACCUUCACAAAUGAUGGGUCAAUGUACAUUUUGCGGAGGAAAGCACUUAACAACUAAUUGUUAGAAUUUGCAAAGGCAACAACAAUUCAGUAAUCAGACCAUGAUCCCACUAACUCAUUAGGACAUCAAUCAAGUUCAAUCAGGAAAUAUGUUUGGAUAGAAUGGAAAUCGAUCUAAUCGAUAAAACUGAGCAUUCAAUAACUUUUAAAAUUCCAAUUUUAAUCAAGGAUCUACAUCAAACCCCUAGAACUACGAAAAGGAGCAGCAGAGGUAUCAACAAUAUGCUCCAUUGGCAUCAUCAAACCAAGUUCCCCUCGUUCCAACGCGACAAUCAAGAUCAUUUUUUAACCCUACAUGGAACAAGCCUAGUAGGUAUAUAUCAGUGGAAACACCUAAUAUGCAUGAUGGGGGUGUAAGCAGACGACUUCAUUAUUUUUGUUACAAACAAAUUGGCCAUUAUGCCAAUGAAUGUCCCAAUCGCAUAGCCAUUGACAAUUAUGCACCAGUUCAUGGGAAUUGCAAGUACUCGGGGCAUACUUAUCAACAAUGUAUUGCUCCAUUCAAUUUCAAUAAUUAGGAUCAACAGAUUCAAAACCAAGGAAAAAUGGAGGAGAUAAAUCUAGGGCUUCAAGAUUCUCUAGUAAAUCGGGUGGAAUGUAUCCAAGCCGUUCUUACCAAGAGUCAGCAAAAAGGGAAAGAAUCAAUUCAAUAUUUGGAUGAUCCUGAAGCAAAGGGCCAAUUUGACCCAAUUACAGGGACAUCCAAUCUAGGUCCUGUUAUGGGUCUCUUACCUAAUAUGCGACCUGACUCGGUUGGGAUACCCAAUGAGGUACUGAUUACGGAGGCUUUGGAUCCGUUUCAAGCUGUUCCAUUGUGGUACUGUAAAUGCUUACAGUAUGUAAAAAUUAGUUAGAACAUAUUAUAUGUUAAUAAAUCUAGAUGUGUGUUAAAGAGGCUAGUAAAUUAAAUUAAAAAGAGUUGGUAUAAGAAACUUUAUUAUUUCAUUACUUAUUUUGAUUUUGACAUUAAAUAUAUUAUAUAUAUAUAUAUAUAUAUAUAUAUAUAUAUAUAUAAGACCUACAUAUUUAAUAUAAUACUUAAGAGAAGGUUGGAGCCUAAAGAAAAAAAUCUUAACUAAUAGGAGGCUCAUUGGGAGGGAUGAAAGCAAGGCAUGGUUGGAUGAAGGCAAGAAAUGGAAAACUUCAAUCCUAUUGGUCGAAGGCCAUGCCCAAUGGACUUCAAGGAGGCUGCCCGAGGCCUUACUAAAGAUUAGGGUUCUUCUUUCGAAGCAUUUGGAGAUUACAAGGUAGGAUUGUAAAGUUUAGGAUUUGGAGUACAAUUUGUGUGCAAAAAUUAGAGGAUUUAGAGUUAAGGUGAAAAAGUUAUAGCCGUUUGAAGUUAGGGUGUUUAUUUAAGAUUAAUUGUUACUCUUUUGAAGGUACGAGGAGUUUUACAAUAGCUUUUGAAGAUCGAAAGGUGCGACUAGAACAGCAAUUUCAAGGCCUAUAUCUUUCACGAAAGAAAUAUUGCUUUUGGAGUUUAUAUGAAGGAGUUGUAAGGAGUUGUAAGGAGUUGAAGGCGGCGCUUCCAUUAAGUAAGCGGGUUUGUUUGUACUAAUGGUUGGAGCCAUAACUUGAGUUUUCAAACAAAUAUUUCACUCAAAUUUUUUGGAGAAUGUGAAAUUUUGUGUUAAAAAGCUAUACAUACAAAUUUCGUAGCAUUUGAGCUUAUAUUUUGUGAGAUAUGAAGAAAAAUACACAUGGAUAUAUAAAGACAAGGGUUUGAAGGGACUAUUAGGAUUUUCAAGAUAUCUCAAGAUCUGCAAUGAAUUUGCAGUUGAAAAUUGUUGUAAAAGUUAAUAAGAAUACAUCAGUAUCUCAUGUAAAAUUAGAGUUUGUUUGGACGGUCGGAUUAAGAGAUAUGAGGUGUUGAAGUUUGAAAAAAUCUCCACAUAAGAAUAAAUAAGGUUUUAGAAGAUUUUAUCAUAUUUUGGAAGUUGUAGAUUACUUAAGGCUUGUGUAUUUGGUGUAAUUGCUCAAAAAGAGAAAAUUUAUAUAUAAACUUAGGGCUUCCCUUCUUUUCAAGCUUGAUUGAAUAAUUAGUGAUAGCUAAAAGUCCAUCGUUUUCUUGAGGCAUACUCUUUCUACUCCAACACCAUUCUUGAUAUCAUUCCUGAAAACGUCCUGUCCAUUGAAAGAUCCUCUAGGAGGCUUGACAUCAAAGAAAGCUUUGUCUACUGUUUCAAUUUCGAGUCUAGGGUGGAAGAAUAUCUUAACUCAAGGAGUUAAAUUCCAACUAAUAAAAAGAAGGAGACAUUGGGUAUUAUCCUAAAUAUGGAAUCCUAUGACAUAUUGAAGGAUCUAGAUGCUAUUCGGCCUUCUAUUUCUAUGAAGCAACUUCUAGCGAUUGCACCAGAGUAUCGUUCUACAUUGAAUUUAUCAUUAAUAUGGCACAAGCAACAUAAUAAAGAAGUUUGUGAAGUCAAGUUGAACCCUGAUCUAAGAGCAUCAACCAUGGAUGUUUCGAUUGAUGGUGUUAUGAUCUUGGGUGUUUACAUAGAUGGUGGUUCCAGUGUCAAUUUAAUGAACGCUGAUAUAAUGGAUGCUUUAGAGUUGGAACACUUAGUAUUCACAACAUUGGUAUUACGGAUGACAAAUCAUAGCCGGAUUAAACUAAUGGAUAUUUUACGGAGUGUUCAAACUAUAAUUGCUGGUAUUGCAUAUGCAAUUGACUAUAUAAUCUUUUGGCUACAACAUUCCACUUUAUCGUAUCCAAUUUUAUUAGGACGACCUUGGCUUUAUCGAUCGAAGGCCAAGAACGAUUGGAGUCGGAGUACUUUGAUAAUUGGUAAGGGCGGCAACAAAAUGGUAUUACAAAUGUACGAAGUAUGGUAUCACGGGGAGUCUCAAUUACUAGCAUCUGAAUUGAUGUCAGACAAUGAGCUUAGCUUCGAUGAUGACGUAGUCGCACUGAUUACAGAGACGUCUAUAGAAGCAGCGCAAUACCUAGGAGUGGUGUACCAAUAUGGAGGUUCGGAGGAGUACUUGAUAUACUCAUCGAAUUCAGAAAACUUUGAGUAUGUUAGUAUUGAUUGGAUGAUCAAGUAUGAUGUGUACCAUAUUAGUGCCCUGGAUACAAGAUUCAGUACUUCGCACAUGUCAGACUUAUCGACAGAUUUUCAACCAACGCGGGGAUUGAAACAGAACAUCGCGAUUGCACCUUUAUGUCAAACUAUUAACUUGGCGACCACAAUAGAGCCACAAACAAUUAAGAUCUAUGCAGGUAUUAUGAACCAAGAGUUGACCUAUUGGACAAAAUUUUUCUUACAUCAUAAGUCCACUUUUGUUUGGACUUAUGCUGAUUUAAAGGAUAUUUCUACUCAGGACUAUGAGCAUCAUAUCAUUUUAGAGGAGAACGCUAAAUCCGUACGGCAAAAGCAACAUUGCCUUAAUCUUACAUAUUUUCUCAUGGUGAAGGAAGAAUUGGACAAGCUUCUUGCGAUUGGUUUCAUUUACCCGGUGCCGAAUAAGGAGUGGAUUUCUCCAAUUAUCAUGGUGCUGAAAAAGAAUGGAAAAAUCCACAUUUGUCAGGAUUUUUAGAAACUUAAUGUGGCCAUUAAGAAGGAUUACUUUCCGUUGCCUUCUACAGAUAGUAUAUUGAACACUGUAGCCAGUCACGAAUGUUAUUUGUUCCUCGAUGGAUUUUUCAGAUAUAAUCAAGUUCAAAUUACAAUGGAAGACCAGCUUUAGAUGACCUUUAUUAUGGAUUGGGGCACAUUUGCUUAUCACGUGAUGCCUUUUGGGUUAUGUAACAUCCCAGCCACGUUUCAUAGAGUGAUGACUCAGGCCUUCCAAGAAUAUCUCUAGCUGUUUAUGGAGAUCUUUUUAGAUGACUUUUGUACAUUCAGUACAAAACAGGAUCAUCUUAAUUGUCUGAGCAAAUAUUUGGCUAGGUGCGUUAAAUUUGGAAUAUUGUUGAACUCGGAGAAGUAUCAAUAUGGUGUUCCAUUCAGUAAAUUAUUGGAACAUAUCGUCUCCAGCCAUAAUAUUGCUACGGAUCUUGAUAAAGUACAGCAUAUAAUGAACUUGCCCCGCCCAGAGACGGUCUUUGCUGUUCGUGGAUUGUUGGCCAUGUCAGUUAUUAUUGAAGAUUCAUUCGUUUGUUUGCAGUUAUUUGUCAACCUUUAACAAACUUACUGAAGAAACCUCCAUCAGAUGGGACUAGUCCCAUCUGGACCAUGGAGUGUACCGUGGCCUUUGAAGUGUUGAAGUCAAAAUUGGUCUCUGUACCAAUAUUAAUGGCUCUUCGUUGGAUGGAGCCUUUUCAUGUGUACGUUGAUGCAUCCAAUAUGGCUAUUAGAUUGGUGUUAAUUCAGAAGAAUGAUAAGGAUCUAGAUCAUCCUAUCUAUUAUGUCAGUCGACAAUUGGUGGCUACCGAAUGCAAUUAUACUACUAUUGAACGAGAAGCAUUGAUUAUGAUAUACUCGGUUGAAAAAUUUUGAUACUAUUUACUUGGGUAUCCGUUUAUUUUUUAUGUGGAUCAUUGUGCCCUCAAAUAUAUGAUUAAUAAGCCUCAAUUGAGUGGGCACAUUGCCCGAUGGAAUUGAACUCUUACAAGAGUUCAAUUUUACGAUUGUCGUAAGACUUGGAAAGAAAUAUGCCAAUGCUGAUCAUUUAUCCUAGUUGUCUAAUAUUCUUGGCAAUGAGUCUGUCCUAGAUGCUCUUCUCAAUGCCAAAUUAUUUGUGGUGGAUAUGAUUUUUCCCGAAUAUAGUGAAAUCAUUUACUUUCUGAUCUUCCACAGCUUUCCAUCGACUUUCACCGAGAAGCUUAAGAAGCAAUUCAUUCUGAAGAGUGCCCCGUACACAAUGAUUCGCGAUGCUUUGUAUAAACAAGGCAAAGAUGGCAUUUUAUGUCACUGUAUCUUUUUAAGUGAAGUACAGUCGAUCCUCGAAGGUUGCCAUUUGGAUACUUGUGGUGGUCAUUUUACAGGAGAUAGUACUGCUCGCAAGGCUUUAAUGGCCGGAUAUUGGUGGCCCACAAUGUUUUCUGAUGCACACCAAUUUUUUUGUCGUUGUGAUCUCUGUCAACAAAUUGGUCAAUCCACGGGCACUUCUACCAUAUCAUUGGUUUCAAUCUUGGUACAGGCAGCAUUCAAAAAAUGGAGUAUUGAUUUUGUCGGUCUCAUCGCAGCAGUAUAAAAACUUGGCCAAAAGCGAUAUAUUUUAGUCGCCACGGACUAUGUAACAAAAUGAGCAGAAGCUAUUGCUACCCGCCAUCAUAAUACCAAUACGGUGACUACUUUUUUAUACAAGAAUAUUAUAACUCGAUUUGGAUGUCCAAAGGAAUUGAUUAGCGAUCGCGACACCCAUUUUCUAAAUGCUACCAUAGCUGCCUUGACAAACAUUUAUGAGAUUAAGCAUCAAAAAAUCACUCCAUAUCAUCCUUGUGCUAAUGGAAAAAUGAAAAAGACCAACGAAAUUUUGUGCAAGGUCUUGACUAAGACAAUUUUGGGGGUGGGUAUCGAUUGGAAGACCAAACUCUUUGCGGCUUUGUGGGCAUAUCACACCACAUAUAAAGUAACUACCAAUUCUAUUCCAUUUCAACUAGUUUAUGGUCAAGAGGCAAUUUUACCAAUCGAGUUGGAGGUUCAAAGUUUACAGAUUGCCUUGGAUGAAGGACUCAAUGACAAAGAGUCCUUACAUUUUUGGUUGGUGAAAUUGAAAGAAUUGGAUGAAAUACGGACUACAAUUCUUUUUCAUAUGGAAGCAACUUAAAAACGGAGGAAGAGUUACUAUAAUAGUAGACUGUACCCGAAGAUUUUUAUGCCCAAUGAUUUGGUAUUAUUGUAUGAUAGCCGGUUUAAUCAUUUUUUGGAAAAAUUUCAAGUUCGUUGGCAUAGGUGGUAUUGGGUGAUUGAAGGUUUUUCCAAUGGAUUUAUUCAAUUAGAAGAUUCUAUGGGCCAUCGCCUCAGUACCCACAUUAAUGAGAACCGAUUACUGUUAUAUAAUACAUAAAACCUGGGACGGAUUUUUAUUUUUUGGAGGCGUGACUUUGAAUGGAUAAAAGGUAGUCCUAAGUAUAGUAUAAGUGCGUUAGGGUGUAGAGGCGGCUGAAAUGAAAAUUAGUAAUUAUUAAUGUGUCAGAUGGGACAGAGGUGAGAAACAAACAGUAUGGGUAACAUAUUGUCAUGAUUACCGGUAGUAAGAGAAUAGGUGUGGGGCACCAGUUAGAGGUCAUUCUGUGUUGUCAUUCUUGGUUGUUUUCUGAGAUUGUUAGUUCUUGUGUUUUUUACAUUUUUAAGCAUAGUAGUUCGAGUUAAGAAUUUGAGAGGGGGAAUGUCAUGGCAAUUAAAAGUACAAAAAGAGCUGCAAACAAAGAGAACAAUGGCAAAAAUGUGAGAGCUAGACGUACAUCAAAACCACCUUCUAUUAUAAUCUGUCACGGAUAUACAUAUAAUUACCUACAAGAGUCGAUAAAAGUAUAUAAAAGUAGAUAAAAGUAGGUUAAUUGUGCAAUAUCUUUUAGAGAAGCUUCCUAGAAGCUUCAUAGAUGCUGCUUUGAUCUUAUAGGAGUCCGUAGUUGACUUUUAGGUUAGAAACUUGGUCAACAAGUUAGCCAUGUGCCACACAUGUUGGUAGCUUGAAGGACAAGCUAACUACGUAGUCCACUCAUAGAAAACUUGUCUUGCAAGCAAAGACAUGUGGCCUAGAAAGUCAACACAUAUUAGAGGUCUUAUAGAAUAUCGCCACGUGGCUUCUAGUUAGAUAGUAUAUAUAGAGGCAAGAGUGAAGCUCUCUUCACUCUUGUCAACUCCUUUCUUGCUUCUAGUUUAGUUUCAAGGGUCUCUAGUUUUCUUGUCUUUUGGCAAUAGCCAUUCCAGUUUCUCUUUCAAUAUAUACAUUUGUUUAUUUACUUCUCUUUGAGUAAAGGCUCACUUGUCUGAAUUAUUUUUCAUCGAGUUCUUGUCCUUGACAGAUUGACAAGAGUACACUUACAAUAUCAGAGCUUUGUUUUUCUUCAGUAAGAGUGGAUUAUCCCUUUCUCUUGACAAGACAUAAGCAUAUUAGAAGUUUGCGGAUUACCCACUUCUAAACUGAUAUUGUUCUUAAUAUCUUCUUUGUUAUCAAGUCUUUCUUUUCUUUUGUCUUGAGCAGUAUCAAACAAAUUUUUCUUCUUAGUGUCAUUAUGGCAGAGCUUGUUGAAAUGAAGAGUGCAAUGGCACAAAUGCAAGAGCAAAUGAGGGAGUUAAUGCUUGCGAUGCAUCGACUCAAUUCACCCACACAGGAAAGAAUAAGAAUAGCAGAAAGUGGAGAUAUAGAGAUGAUCGGAGCUGCUUCAACAUCUGCAACAAAUCACGUUCCUUCUCCAAUUGUACAACAUCCUGUAAGCAUUAGAGAACCAAGAAUUGCCUUACCCGAGAAAUUUGAUGGUAUGAGAUCAAAGUUUUGAGGGUUCAUCAAUCAAGUACAAUUGGCAAUUGAACUUCAACCGCAAAGCUAUCCAACUCCAGGAUCACAAGUCAGGUUUAUUGGCACUCUACUUUCAGGUUCUGCAUUAUCGUGAUUUUCGUCUUUUCUUGAACAACAAAAUCUAAUAUUGGACAAUUUGGAAGCUUUUUUGGCGGAGUUUCGAUCUAUGUAUGGUGAAUACGAUGUAACUCGUGUUGCAACAAAUAAGAUCCGAAUUCUGCGACAAGAAAAUCGCUCAGUAACAGUGUAUGCUUCACAAUUUUGACAACUUACAAUUGACAUCAAGUGGGAUGAUGCUGCACUCAUCAGUCAAUUUCUUUAUGGAUUGCAAUACGAAGUAAAGAAAUUGAUGCUCAACUUACCUGAUCCUCAAACUUUGAGUCAAACAAUCAAUUUUGUGGUAAAAUGUGAUAAUCGACUUUUUGAAUUUCGAUCCGAGAAUCAUUCAUGGGAACCUCAACGUUAUUACUCAAUGGCAACAUCAACAUCUUUGCCAAACGUACAUUCGGAAGUAGAAGACAUGCAAAUUGACGCGCUACGUUUUAAAUCCCUAACUAAGCAAGAAAAGAUUCAUCGUCGUCAAGAAGGAUUAUGUUUAUAUUACGGAGAACCUAAGUACACUGCUCAACAUUGUCCAAAGAAACGACGCAACUAUAAAAUGAGGGGUACGACGGUCAAAGAAGACAACAUGUCGGGAAACGAAUUUGUCCAGCUACAAUAGGAACCAUGCAGCUGGAACCUUGUACAAUUCUUAAUGAAGGUCCUAUCCUCUCCUCAGAACCCUCUCCUUGUUUUAUAAUAGACUUAUAUUUAGGACCUAAGAAUUACAAAGCCUCUGCUUUAUUAGAUUCGGGAGCCUCAGCAUGUUUUUUAGAUGAACAAUUUGUUAAAAGUCGUAAAAUACCUUUUGUACAGAAACCUAAACUAGUACAUGUAGAAGUCAUAGAUGGUCGUCCCUCGUCUUCUGGAGAUGUCACUCAUGAAACUCAUCCUAUAAAAGUAACAAUAGACGGUCAUGAUAGCUACAUAGCUUUUAACAUAAUUAAAUCCCCGUCCAAUCCAAUUAUUUUAGGUUUAUCUUGGCUAGAAAAAUAUAACCCUCAAAUAGAUUGGAAUUCGCGUAAACUUGACUUUUUCCAGAGCGUUAUUAAUAGUUCUACCAACCAAGUAAAAAAUUAUAAGUCUAGUAUAGUAAAACCCGUACUAAUAGGUACAAAAGUAUUUAUACACGCAGCAAAAGAAGGAUCAACUUUUGUUAUUUAUGCUGCACCUAUUUCUGAAAAUGUAAAGACUUCAAGUGGCAUUCCAAGUCAAUAUCAGGAGUAUCAAGACAUUUUUGAGAAAAAGAAUGCAGAUAUUCUUCCUGAGCAUCGCCCAUAUGAUUGUUCAAUCGACCUCAAGGAAGGAACUCAGCCACCAUUUGGACCAAUUUACGGUUUAUCGCAAGAUGAGAUGGCUGAACUCAAGACAUAUAUUGACGAGAAUUUAGCAAAGAAUUUCAUAUGCCAUUCAAAAUCUCCAGCAGGAGCUCCAAUUCUAUUCGUAAAGAAAAAAGAUGGAUCUUUACGAAUGUGUGUUGAUUAUCGAGGACUCAACAAGAUCACAAUCAAGAACAGGUAUCCAUUACCUUUGAUAUCAGGACUCCUUGACCAGUUGAAUCAAGCUAAGAUCUAUACAAAAAUAGAUCUAAGAGGAGCAUAUAAUCUAGUACGGAUCAAAGAACGAGAUGAAUGGAAGACUACGUUUCGAACCAGGUAUGGACAUUUCGAAUAUAAUGUCAUGCCCUUUGGACUCACGAAUGCACCAGCUGCUUUUCAACAUCUCAUGAAUGAUGUAUUUCGUGAAUUCUUAGACAAUUUUGUCGUCUGCUAUCUAAAAGCUAUCCUGAUCUAUUCUAAGAACGUCGAAGAACAUGAAAUACAUGUUCGUCAAGUAUUACAAAAACUUAGAGAUGCAGGAUUGUACGCCAAGAUAGAAAAGUGUGUAUUUCACACUACUCAAGUUGACUUUUUAGGAUACAUCAUUUCAAAUGAUGGUCUCAUGAUGGAUUCUAAGAAAGUCCAAACAAUCAUGGAUUGGAAGAUUCCAAGGACAAUAAGAGAUGUCCAAUGUUUCUUGGGAUUUGCCAAUUACUAUCGGAUCUUCAUCAAAGAUUUCUCACGAGUUGCAGCUCCACUUACACGCUUGACUAGUAAAGAUAAAUUUCAAUAGAAUCAAGAAGCGGAAGCAGCAUUUGAAGCCUUGAAGACAUCGUUUGUCUGUGCACCAGUCUUAUAUCGUGUUGACUUUUUCAAGGCAUUUUUUAUAGAAACAGAUGCAUCAGAUUUUGCCUUGGGUGCAGUUUUAUCACAAAUGGAAAUAGAUGACAAACUUCAUCCAAUAGCUUUUCAUUCAAGAAAAUUCUCAGCAGUCGAGAUCAAUUAUGAGAUCCACGAUAAAGAACUUCUUGCGAUCAUGGAUUCUUUUUAAGAAUGGCAUCAUUAUCUAGAAGGCGCUUCUAGUCCAGUCACUAUGUAUACAGAUCACAAGAACCUCGAGUAUUUCAUGUCAGCACGCGUGUUGAAUCAUCGUCAAGCUCGUUGGAGUAUGUCUUUGUCAAGAUUUGAGUUCAUUAUCACUUAUCGGCCAGGAAAACAACAAGGUUUGUUCGAUGCAUUGUCUAGACGUUCUUAUUUUGUACCAGAAGAAGGAGAUGCAGCUUUUGAGCAAGAAAGAAUGGUCCUCUUGAAAUCGGAGCAAUUUCAUCUCCGAGCAAUGAAAUCAACAUUGACUGUUGAUUCAACUUUUCUCAAGCAAAUCCAGUCCAGUAUGUCCUCAGACCCUCUUGUUUAUGAUAUCGAGAAUAAUUCUUCCAAGUCUCAUGAUCCUUCUAAGUUCGAGUUCAAGAAUAAUCUAUUAUAUUUUGAAGGACGCCUAUAUGUUCCAGAAGGAGAAGCACGUUUACAUGUUCUUCAAGCACGUCAUGACUUUCCAACAGCAGGGCACUUUGGAUAUAAUAAGACUUUGGAACUCAUAUCAAGAGAUUUUUGGUGGCCACAAAUGUGGAAGUCAGUCAAAGACUUUGUACAAUCAUGUGAUAUUUGUUCAAGAUCAAAAAUUCCUUGUCAUCGACCUUACGGACUUCUUCAGCCAUUACCUAUACCAGAACAAACAUGGUCUUCUGUUUCUAUGGAUUUCAUCACAGAUCUUCCAAGCUCAAGAUCUUAUGAUUCUAUAUUUAUGAUAGUAGAUUAUUUCACCAAGAUGGCACAUUUUGUGCCAUGUACAAAAUCUAUCACAGGUGAAGAAACAGCUAAGCUUUUCAUUGAUAAUAUCUAUCGCUAUCAUGGAUUACCUAAAGAUAUCAUAUCGGAUAGGGGAACUCAAUUUGUGUCAAGAUUCUGGAGGACCCUUUUCAAGAUUUUAAAAGUGGACAUAAAGCUAUCUUCGGCUUUCCAUCCUCAAACUGAUGGACAAACAGAGCACGUAAACCAAGUCUUGGAGCAAUAUUUAAGGUGUACUAUCAACUACCAACAAGAUGAUUGGACAACCCUUCUGCCAUUGGCAGAGUUUGCUUAUAAUAAUACGGUACAUUCUUCCACGCAACAAACACCUUUCUUUGCCAAUUAUGGCUAUCAUCCACGACUUGAUACUUUUGAUUUUUCAAAAGUUGAUAAUCCUACAGCAGAAGAUACGGCAAAUUGGUUGUCAGAGUUACAUGCAAUAAAGAAGACGCAAUUGAAGGAAGCUCAAGAACGACAAAAGAUAAACGCAGAUCUAUAUUGUAAGGAGCAACCACAACUCAACGUGGGUGAUAAGGUAUGGCUACUUCGUCGCAAUAUCAAGACUACUCGACCUUGUGACAAGUUGGACUAUCGUAGGCUUGGCCCCUUUUCUGUUUCUGACUAGAUCAACCCAGUUGCAUAUCGGUUACAUCUACCGGAGUCAAUGAAGAUCCAUCCUGUAUUCCACGUGUCUCUUCUUGAACCAUAUAAGACAGUGGAUAUACAAAGAAGAAGACAAAUGCCACCGCCUCCUAUAGAAGUAGAUAAUAAUGAAGAAUUUGAGGUGGAAGAGAUAUUAGAUUCGAGGCGGCGCCGAAAUAAGCUGGAAUAUCUUGUUCAUUGGCGCGGAUAUGAUAUUAGUAAAUGCACAUGGGAGCCAUCCAGGAAUCUAGCAAAUGCAUCAGCUAAAGUCAAAGUUUUUCAUCAACGACAUCCAUCAAAAUCAAGAUAAAAAUCUCUCUUAUAAAAGAGACAAGAUUGAGGCAAGAUAACAUUCAAUUUCCUAUCUUUGUUUGUAACUUCUUUGCAUUUGUGACGCUAAUUAGAUGGAGAGCCAACAACUAGCAGAUUCAACUCAAGAACCUUUGUUUGCUGACUUACCGGAUGAGACAUUGCGAUUGUCACAACCUUUAAGACGACGCAACUGAGAUGAAGACCCUCAAGAACGACAAGUUCUUCCUCGAAUAGAUGGUGAGAUACAACGCAUUUGGUAUCACGACCUUGGAAGAGAUUCUCGAUGUUUGGUGAUAUUACUGGAGAUAGGAACGACUGCUGAUGGUGUUUCAAAUGUAUUAUUUGAAGGAAGUUAUGAAGGCCUCAAUAAUGAUCAAAUAACAGAGUGGUCUUCUCGCCCUGGAAUGGGACACUUUCGAUGGCUAAGAGGACCCAUCAACUACCUUCGAAGAGAACAGAGAUCAGAGUAUGUAGCAAAUACAAUUCGCCGUAUAUUAGACUUUCUCAACAUAUAAUCACCGUCCCUAGAAGGGGGGGUAAUGUCACGAUAUACAUAUAAUUACCUACAAGAGUCAAUAAAAGUAUGUAAAAGUAGAUAAAAGUAGGUUAAUUGUGCAAUAUCUUCUAGAAAAGCUUCCUAGAAGCUUCAUAGACGCUGCUUUGACCUUAUAGGAGUCCAUAGUUGACUUUUAGGUUAGAAACUUGGUCAACAAGUUAGCCAUGUACCACACAUGUUGGUAGCUUGAAGGACAAGUUAACUACGUAGUCCACUCAUAGAAAACUUGCCUUGCAAGCGAAGACAUGUGGCCUAGAAAGUCAACACAUAUUAGAGGUCUUAUAGAAUAUUGCCACAUGGCUUCUAGUUAGAUAGUAUAUAUAGAGGCAAGAGUGAAGCUCUCUUCACUCUUGUCAACUCCUUUCUUGCUUCUAGUCUAGUUUCAAGGGUCUCUAGUUUUCUUGUCUUUUGGCAAUAGCCAUUCCAGUUUCUCUUUCAAUAUAUAUAUUUGUUUAUUUACCUCUCUUUGAGUGAAGGCUCACUUGUCUGAAUUAUUUUUCAUCGAGUUCUUAUUCUUGACAUAAUCGUAAUCAAUAUGAAGCCGAUGAAGUUGGAUAUCUGCUGGAUACCGAAAAGAAUAAAAGACUUUUGGAAUGCAUAGUUGUUCCAUUUUUUGCAACUGUCAGAUCACUUACCAUCAAUUAAUAUGUCAUUAGUGGAGGAAUAUAUCGCAAACUACAACCCAGAGGAUGGAUCGAGUGAGGUACAAGGGCGAAUUAUCAAGUUUGAUGGAACAAUCUUGGAAAAGGUGUUGUAUCUUCUCAUUGGAAAAAUUGUAAUAGGAGUUGAUGACUCAAGCGACUUCAAUCCAGGAAGAUAUUUCAAGGGAGGUAUGUCGGCCUUUGAGAGGAGCUAAGGUUGGUAGACUAUUGAGGCAAUUUCAAUAGAACUCGUGGAAUGAUUUUAUUUUGUGGUGAGGCGAUUAGAAUUAUACCAACAUCCCACAUAUAUAUCCAAACGAUUCUUGUAUGUAGUGGUAGAGGCGCUGGAAGGGAUGGUGUUCAACUAGGCAGUGUACGUAGCCACUCGUAUUCAUGCGGAGAUAGGAGCCAAGUAGAAAUUGGAAAAAUUCACUUAUUUGAUUUGUUUCAAUUAUGUGUAUGUUGUGAUCACAUACACAUUGCAUCAAACAAUGCUAGAAGAGGAAAGUCUUGUACUAAUAUUAGUGCCAGUGCCUCCGCAGAAAGAACAAAUAUUUUUGGCAUAGAAUAUCAAUACCACGGAUAUAAUAUACGAAAUUGGGGAAUCAAGUUGUACAGUGGCACAAGAGGUCGUUCCAAUUAUUGAAUCAAAAUGGGUUCCAAUUCAUUUAGCAGUGGAGGAGGAGAAUGAAACUCCAAUUUCGAUGAAUAUUAAUCAAUUGGUAUUUCCACAAGGUCGAUUGUCCAAGGAAAAACUUCUUAAGACUGCUUUAUUAAAGCACAUUUUACAAAUACAUUAUAUGGUGCAAGCAUUGGAUAUAGAAGGCAGUAGCAAAUAGAAUUUAGAGGAUAGUAAGAAGGUAAUAUCAGCGCAAAAUUGAAGAAUUAAAGAGCAAGAAUGGAUGAUAAAAAAAAUUGGAGAAUCCAAGCUGAUAUUGGAGCAAAAAUGGGUUCACCAAUAUGAGUCUUCGACAAAAGAAAAAGACACAUCUUACGAAUUGUAGAAGGAUAACAUGACGAAUUGAUCCAGAAUCACAAGACAUGGGAUUUGGAAUGGGAGAAACUCAAAUGCUAGUUGGAGGCGGAAGGAGACAAAGCAAAGUUAUUGAUGAAAGAGAAAGAAGCAUUGAAUAACCAAUCCAGAUGCAAAACGGAGAAGUUGAGGCCCAAAAUCGAAGUUUUACAAGCUGAGGUGACAAAAUUGAUGGAAGAAUUAACAGUGAGAAGCUAGUCUCAAGUGUCAAUUGAAGAUGUUUCAAAAUGGAUGAGUGUCAAGGACAAAGACUCGAUGAAAGAAAAUAUACACAAAAAAGCUAUCUCGAUAUAAUAAGUCAAAAUAUAAACAAGUAUGUAUAUUAAAAAGAAACUAGAAUGGCUAUUGCCACAAGACAAGAAACUAAAGACUCUUGAACCUAGACUAGGAGCAAGAAAGAAGUUGAUAAGAGUGAAGAAGCCUUCACUCUUGUCUCUAUAUAUACUAUCUAACUAGGGGCUACGUGGCGAUGUUCUAUAGGACGUCCAAUGUGUGUUGACUUUGUAUGACACAUGCCUUGACUUACAAGGCAAGUUUUUCUACAUGUGGGCCACAUAGUUAGCUUGAUCUUCAAGCUAACAACAUGUGUGGCACAUGGCCAACUUGUUGACCACGUUUUUAAUCCAAAAAGUCAAUUAAAGACAUCUAUGAAGUCAAAGCAGCGUCUAGGAAGUUUCUAGGAAGCUUCUAUAUUAAAUAUUAUAGAAUUAACUUACUUUUAUCUACUUUUACUUACUUCUACCUAUUUCUAUAUGUAAUUAUUAGCUUACAUGAUUAUGGCCGUGACAAUGAGUCAGCAGCAACAUCAGUUGGAACUUUGUGAUGCCUAGAUUUUGAAACUAUAGGCUCAAGUUCGUGAAUUGGAUGAGUAUAAUGAACAUCUAUCAAACCAGUUAAGGAAGGAGCCGAUGGACAGAUUGGAGGAGGAAAAAAAUUUGAAUUUAGAACCAAAAUCGAUAGAACCUACAUUCGAUAAUGCAGCAAAUGAUUAAUUGGGUAGGCCAAAGGAAUUAGUAAUUUUGUAGAGUUUUAUUAAGUAGUUUUUUUAGAUAGGAAUCAAUUGUGUGUUUGCAAGGAUGCUACACAACUAAGAGUGGGGCUAUGUAGAAUAGAUAUUAGUUCAUUUUUGUAAGAUAUUGAUAAAAUAGAUUAAUAAUCCAUAGAAUAGUCAAUUUAGGAAGACAAAUGAUUGAUUCAAUUAUUAAAAGUGGUUAUUAUAAGAUUACAAUUAGAAUCUGGAAAUCAGUAGCAAUUAUAUAGAAGUUGUAGAAGUUUGUUGGGGUGCUAGACUGUGAUAGUAAUGAGCCGGGAUUAAGCUUGGUGCUUCCUCUUUGUUUCUUUUUUUUUCUUUGUUGUUGAAGAAUAAUGGAUAGUUUUUGAAUACUGAGAAGUGAGUCUGUGGAAUAAAUCAAAGAUUGAUUUAUGAGUUAUUGAUUAUGUAAUUAGAGUACUGAGUGAUUGAAUCAUAUGAAAAGUUAUUGAAAGCUUGAUUAUGGAUGGAAGAUUAUGAUUGUUAUUUAUUGAGAGUUGUAUGUGUGUGAUUUGACAGAGGAAGUCUGUGAUUACAAGAAUUCUAUGAAUUUAGAUUGGUUGGAGUGAACUCUGUUAUUCUUGGAGUUAAAUAGAAUUUAUUGAAUUUUGAGCGAUCUUUUGAGAGAGCAAGGUUACACAUUGUGAUUAUUAGUUGAUGAAGGAGUAUUGUUACUGGGAAGAAGCAUUGUUGUAUUUCUUAGUAUUUUAGUGGUUUAGAAUACAAUAAAUUGUGUGAUCCUAAUAAGUGAAACUCAUGCCCUUAAUCUUUUCUUGUGUUCGAAUUCCUCUAUAUAGAUUUAUUCUCGAAGGAAUUAUAGAAUAAGUAAAAUGACAAUCACAAUGGCCUUCAAAUCUUGUUCCAUUUUUUCAUAAAGGCUCCCAAAAGUGGUUGAAUUCAUUAUUACGAAGAUCUUAAAAAUUACUCUAAAAAUUCUUAAAAAAUUCUAAAUAAAUUCUAAAUAAAUUCUAAAAAAUUCUAUAAUAUUUCUAUAAUGCUAAUAUCCAUCUAAGGCUAAAUUUUCCUACCUUAAUGAUUUUUGAUAAUGAUAAAAAUUAAUUUAAAUCUAUUAUAAAUCAUAUUUUUUAUACCAAUAACUAAAAUAUCAUGAGGUUCUUUCUCAUGCUUCUUUUAACUACUAACAUUUAUAGUUUUUAUAAGUAGUAUAUAUAUAAAAAGACCAAUAUAAAUACUAAUAUUAAUAAAUAAUCCUUAUUAUUCAAUAUUAAAUAAAAAUACUAAACCAACACAGAUCAUUGCCUCUAAGCCUUAUUAAGACUCCAUUUCUACAACUAACAUUCUAAUUUCUAUUUUUCUAAGGAUUUCUACAAUAAUUACUAUAUAUUAUGAUUUAAAACAUUUUAAAUACAUAUUUUUAUCCAAAAGAAUAAGAGACUCAAUUUGAUGACUCACAAUGACUACCUAAAAUUUCUAGAUAUAAGCUCCAAAGUCUUGUUCUAUCCAAAAUAUCUUGCCACUACAAAGUUGUGAUGUACUUCAAGAACAUAUAAAUGUGCUUCUCUUUUUGGAACAUAUAAGUGAACUUCAAAAUAGAAUAGGUUGUUCUUGAGCUCAAACUUAGAAGUAUCAUGAAACUUAGAAGAAAUAUUCUUGAUAUCAUGAAUAAGAGAAUUUGAGGAUAUAUUUGAUUAAAUUUACUUAAUAAAAGUUGAAUCAACUGACAAUGUUGAUUUUAUCACUUAGAGAUGAAAUUAUGUGGGCUUUAAGACUACCAUUCUUUGUUGAUCAAAAGUUACAUUUCCUUCUUUUGGUGCAAAAUAAGAAUUUUAUGAAAGCAAGUUUAACAAACCUUGUUGUUUUUUAAGUUGAUACAUGAUCUUAAAAUCAAAUCAUGAUAAUAACAUGCUCCAAUGAACCUUGUAAUAAUUCAACAUCUAUAUUGACAUAAAAUACUUGAAGUUCUUAUGAUCUAUAUAUAUAGUGACUAGAUUAGAAACACUUUUUAGAUAAUGAUGCCAGUUCUAAAAAGAACCCAUAAUUUCAAGAGGUUUUUUAUUGUAGAUUUUGUAAUUGAUUUCCAUCACUAAAAGUUACUUAAAAUAAAAGGCUAUUGGAAGGAAUAUGUCAUGUGCUCCUAUUUGUGACAUUACGGCACCGAAAGCAGAGUCUAAUGUAUUUUUUUUAUUAAGAAUGCCUUGAAAAAUUUGACAUUAUAUACAAUUGGUGCAAAAAUAAAUUUCUUCUUUAAAGCAUCAAACAAUAUUUUGGCUCCUUUUCUUCACUCAAGUUUGUCUUCAUAAGUCAAAUGUGUAAGAAGAGUUGUAAUUUUAAAAAAAUAAUAAUAAAUAUUUGAUAGUAAUUAAUAAAAUUCAAACAGUACUGUAUAACUUUUAUAAUUCUUGGAAUCUAUCAAUUUAUAUAAUCUAGACCUUCUUCAGAUCUAUCAUUAGUUCUUCAUUGAAAAUAAUGUAUCCUAAGAAGUCAACUUAAGUAAUAUAGAAUACACACUUUUUUUUUAUCUUACCAUAUAAUCCUACAUUUCUUAGUUUUUACAAUAUAUAACAUAUAUAAAAUUUAUGAUCUUUUGUAUUAUUAGAAUAGAUUAUAAUAUUAUUUAAAUAAUAAACAAUAAAAUUAUUAAGGAAAUUACAAAAAUUAUCAUUUAUAAGAUGUUGAAAAGUGAUUGGUAUGUUAGUGAGUCCAAAAGGCAUGACAUUAUAUUCAAAAUGUCCAUACCUAGUUCAAAAAACAAUCUUCUAUAUAUUUUAUUUUUUUUUUAUGCCGACCAGGUUGUAUGUUCCUUAUAGAUCUAUUUUUUUAUAGAUCUUUAUUUGAUUGAAUUGAUGAAAAAGUCUUGAAAUCAAAAAUAGUAAAUAUUUAUUUUUAAUGGUGAUCUUAUUAAGUCCUCAAUAGUCUACAUACAUCUAUGGAGAUCUAUCAAUAUUCUUCAUAAAUAAGAUAAGAGCUUUUGCUAGAGAUUUUAAAUAGUGUUUGAAGUUUUUAGGCAAUUUUGCAUCAAUAUAUUCCUUUAAUACAACCAUCUCAUUUUACAAUAAGCUGUGGAUUGAUCCAAAUGGUGGUUUAGCUCAUUCUCAAAAAUCAUUUAACAACCAUAAUGUCUAUGUUAUAAAAUAAUAUUUAUAUUUUUCUUUUCAAAAACAUCCUAGAAAUCUUGAUAUUGGCUAGGAAUACCACUUAAUAUCUUUCUACCAUCAAAAAUAGGUGUAGUGUAUAUAUAUAGCAAAAAAUGAUCAUUUUUUUAUGGCAUUCAUAAAAGCUCUCAUAGCUACUAGUAAAGAUUUUGAUGUAUUAGACUUAUAUAUUUCUACUUGACUAAUAAUAUUUUUGAUUAAAUUACUAAAACAUUUAAGAUUAGAAAAAAUCUAAUAUAUUUAAGGAUUAUAUUUUUUUAUACAUGAUAAUUUUAAAAUAACUAAAUUAAAAGAAGAUCUUUUUAUAUUAAAUAUUACUAUGCUAUUAUGUUCUUUAAUUAUUACAUUGAAAAGAAUAGUUUCAUAGAUAUUAGCUCCAAAAGACAACAAACAAUCAUCUAUAACUUCUACAUGUACAAGUUUAGUUUUCUUGAAUAAAGAUAUUUCUUAUUUUUUAACAAAGUCUUUGUCUAUAAAAUAAGUUGAGGCUCUUGAAUCUUAUAAUACAAAGACUUUGUAAUAUUAAGGUCCUAAACAUACAUCUAUUGUAAAAUAAGGUGAUUAAUCUGAGGAGAGAAUAGAAUCUUUAUUAAGUAUUAUUGUCAAGGACAUAAAUCUCAAGGAACUAAAAUUUCAAUACACCCUUGUGACACUCAAAAAAAUUAAAAAAUCACUCAAAGAUGAUAUAGUAUUAAACUAAAAUAUCUAUUGUCAAAGAUAAGAAGAUUACAAAGUCUUAAAACAAGACUAAAGACUAAGAAGGCAUUAACAAGAGUGAAGAAUGCUAUACUCUUACCUCAAUAUAUACUCUUAACUAGGAGUUAUAUAACAAUAUUCUAUAAGACCUCUAAAAUGUAUUGACUUUGCAAGAUACAUCUCUUAACUUGCAAGGCAAGUUUUCUAUAUGAACACAAUAUAAUUAACUUAUUGUGUAAGCUAUCAAUACGUGAUUAACUUAUUGACUAAGUUUCUAUCCCACUAAUCAAUUGUGUAUACAUGUAAAGUGAAAGCAAUUUCUAUGAAGCUUUUUAGAAUCUUUUUUAGAAAAUAUUAUAAAAUAAAUUUAUUUUUACCUACUUCUACUUACAAAUAUAGAUAAAUAUUAUAAUAAAUAUGUAUGUGUAUGAGAUUAACUUCCCUUCUAGAGACAAGUUCCAUAAGGAGUAGUCAUCAUAUGUUGAAAAAGUCCAAGAUGUGGCAAAUUAUGUUUGCUCCAUACUUUGAUCUUUGUUCUUUUCAAAGAUGGUUGAUAGGUCUUCUAAGCCAUCAAUAGUGUCUUACACUAGAUUGAGAAGACCACCCUAUUAUUUGAUCUUUUUUGAGGCCUUUAUAAUAUUUUUUUAAAUAAAAUAUUUAAAAUACCAUGAGUAGUUGUUUCAACUUCUAAUAAAAUAACCAAAUAUCAAGAGUCUCUUCUAAGGUUGUGAUAUCAAACAUAUUAUAUCUUGCCAUCUAUUCAAGGAAAGAGGUGUUGUUUUUGAAGAUCUUGUUGAGAAAAGAACUCUUUAAGUAGUUGCUAAUGGUCAAUAGAGUACAUGUCUUGUUAAGGAUAUCCCAUAAGGUAGGGUGCUGGUCUAUAGUGCAUUAGAGUACAAGGGGAGGGCUGGUCCUAGGAGAUAUCCCAUAUGGAUUAUAGCACUUGGUACCUUGGUACUAGUAUAUAAGGAAAGGGUUGGCAUGGGAAGAAUUAUCUCAUACCACACUCUAUUUGUUAUAGUGCAACCUUGCUGGUCCUAACUUACUUGUGUGGAGUAUGCUUUCUAUGUUUCAAUAGGUUAUGGGCCCACAUUCUCUUACCAAGUAAGUUGUUCUUGCAUUUUAUUUUCUUUGUUGCUUGUUUGGUGGUUGAGAUCUUAUGGUAUAGUAUUACUAGUAUUUUGUUGAAGUCAUUACUCCUGGAUUUGUGAGUGUAUGAGCUUAGUGCAAGACCUUGAUAGUGUCUUUGCUGAAGUAACACUAGUAUUUGAGAGUUUUGUGAGAAAUUGAGUCAUUUUGAGUGAGGUGAUGUGAGGGAGAUGUUUGAAAGCCAUAGAAUUACAUGACAUAGCAUUUCCCACCAUUUAGACGUGAUUUGGACUCAAAGUAUGCAAAAAGUUGCAAAACAGCGAAUUCUGAGUUUGUAGUUUAGCAAUCUUUGAGUAGUCAUAUCUUUUGCAUUACAACUCCAAAUCAAGAGAUUUUUGGACCUACUUGUAGCUUGAGAUGGCAUCUUUUGAGAGUGAUAGCUUAAGAAUGGUAGAAAAGUUUAGAGGUGACAACUUUCACCACUGGAAGGCCAAAAUGGAGCUACUUUUGGCGUCAUUGGAUCUUUGGGAGAUAGUAUGUGAGGAGGAAGAGGCACCUGGAUUAGAGGCAAGCAUGAAGGAGCAAAAGGACUUCAAAAGACGAGAAAAGAAGGCUUUUGGCAUAAUUGCCACCAACUUAGAUGAAACCAACUUUGCUCAUGUCAUUUCUUGCGAAGGAGCAGCAGAUGCAUGGAAGACUCUUUGCAAUGUCUAUGAGAGUAGGAAUCUUUCCAAUGUGCUAUGGUCAAGGCAAAAGUUCUUCACCGUGAAGAUGGAAGAAGGUGAAGAUCUCAUGGCUCAUGUGAAUAAGGUAAAAGCACUUGCAAACUUGCUUGCUGUUGUUGACAAGCCUUUACUUGAAGAAGAUGUUGUGAUGACAUUGCUCUCAAGCCUUCCGGACUCCUAUUCCUCCCUCAUUGUGGCAUUGGAGUCCAUUUCAAGGAAAGACCUCACUUUGGACUAUGUCACGGCAAGACUAGCCCAUGAAGUGACCAAAAGAAAGCAAAAGGAGUCUAUUGGGGAGCAAUCAGCACUAUUUACAAGACCAAGUAAGGCAAGUGCCCCUUUUCAACGUUAUCCUCCUAAAACUUGUUACAUUUGUGGAAAACCAGGCCAUUUUGCUAGAAAUUGUUUCAAGGCAAAGAGAGGAGAAAGAAAGAAUGCCAACAAUGCUUUUCAUGACCAUGGAGGUGAAGACUUUGCAUUCAUGGCAAAACAAACUCCUUCCAUGUUUGAUAUGAGCAAAUGGAUUGUGGAUUCUGGAUGUACUAAACACAUGACUCCAUACAAGUGUUCAUUUAACACUUAUCAACCUAUUCAAGCAACCAAGGUUUGGUUAGGUGAUAAUUGUAUGGUACAAGCCAUUGGAAUAGGCACCAUUAUAGUGGAGGUGGUGGUGAAGGGCAUAAGCAAGAGAAUCACUCUCAAGGAUGUGUUGCAUGUGCCAAAGAUGAAGAAGAACCUCCUUUCGGUGAGUAAACUUAUAACUCAUGGGUACAAAGUGCAAUUUAACAUGAAUGGAUGUUUUGUGAGAACCAUGGAAGGCAAAGAAGUAGCAAAAGGGACUAAGAAUGGCAAUCUCUAUAUUAUCAAUUGCAAGAGGAUCAAUGGAGUGGAGGUUGCUGCCUUUGCUGAAUUUCCAUCAAAUGAAGAGAAGAUGGGCAUUUGGCAUCAAAGACUUGGGCAUUUGAAUGCCAAAAGCAUGAAGGGGCUUCAAUCCAAGGUAAAUGGCAUAGACCUUGGCCAUUCUACCAUGAAUCUUGCUUGUGAGGGAUGCAUUCAAGGCAAACAACAUAAGACACCAUUUCCUAGAGGAGUUGCAACAAGAGCAAAUCAAUUGUUGGAGCUUGUGCAUUCGGAUGUUUGUGGAUCCAUGAGGACACCAUCUAUGAGUGGUAGUGAAAAGUGGGAGAUGUGUCCAAGUAGGAGUAGUGGUGUGUUUGUGGACACAUCUUCAAUUCCAACAAAUAAACAAGAAGAUGAAGAAGUGCAUUCUCAAAGUGAAGAAGGAGAGGAAGUUGCCAUGAUAGAAGAGCCCAAUACUAUGAAGACUUCAAUUCCAGCAAGAUACAACAAGGACAAUGAAGAGAAUGAAGAUGAAGAAUACCAACAAAUGAGUAAGAGAAAGCACUCCAUGAGUCAUACAAGGCAGCAAGAGGUGCAAGAAGGCUCAUCUUCUUUGCAUGAAAGAAGAUAUCCAACACGUGAGAGAAGACCACAAGGUGAAUGGUGAAAGAACCACAUCUUUCCACAACAAUUGGAUGUAAGUGGGUGCUUAGAACCAAGAGAGAUGCAAACGAUUGAAGGUCAACAAUGGGCUAUGUAUUCUUUGUUUGAGUGGGAGCCAUAUCUUCGAAUAGCAAGAGACAACCAAACAUUGCAAGGUCCACAAUAGGGGCGGAGUAUUUGGCAGCAAGUCAUAAAGCAAUGGAGGCAUUUUGAUUGAGGUUGUUAUUGGAAGAUAUUGGACUUGUGCAAUUGGAGGCUACUCCAUUGAGGUGUGACAAUCAAGGAUGUCUUGCUUUUGGAAAGAAUCCAAAGCAUCAUGCAAGAACUAAGUACAUUGAUAUUCAGCAUCAUUUCAUAAGAGAGAAGAUAGAGAUGGAGGUUAUUGAUAUGAUGUAUUGUGAAAUCAAAGACAUGUUGGCUGAUUUGUUGACAAAAGCCUUAGUUAGAGAAGGAAACAACAAGUUGAGUCAAGCAUUAGGAUUGAGAGCUAAUUGACCAAUAGCAAAGUGGGAGUGUUGAGAAAAGAACUCUUUAAGUAGUUGCUAAUGGUCAAUAGAGUACAUGUGUUGUUAAGGAUAUCCCAUAAGGUAGGGUGCUGGUCUAUAGUGCAUUAGAGUACAAGGGGAGGGCUGGUCCUAGGAGAUAUCCCAUAUGGAUUGUAGCACUUGGUACCUUGGUACUAGUAUAUAAGGAAAGGGUUGGCAUGGGAAGAAUUAUCUCAUACCACACUCUAUUUGUUAUAGUGCAACCUUGCUGGUCCUAACUUACUUGUGUGGAGUAUGCUUUCUAUGUUUCAAUAGAUCUUUAUUUUGAUUAUAUCGUCUUGAAGGUUGUUACAAUUAUAAUAUUUCAUCUAAUAAGUUAGCAAGUGAUAGUUCUUGAGUUGAAUCUACUAAUUAUUAAUCUUCCAUCUUUUUAGUAUCACAAAUAUACAAAAGUACCAAAUAAGAGUAAAAAAUAGAAUGCUAUUUUUUCUUGAUCUUAUUUUUUUUAUAGCAAAGAUUUGUUAUUCUUCAUCUUCAUUUUGAUAAAUGUCGUCAAUGAAAAAUCUCAACCUUUUUUGCUGCAUUUGCAAGAUUCUUUAGUCGCUCUUAUAUAUAUUCACUAAUAUCAUAUCUAUAUCAAUUAAUAAGAUAUUCUAACCUAUUUUGGUGCUACCUUAAAUCUAAGACUUCUUGUACCUCAAAUUCUUAACUAUUAUCUAUUUUUGUAGGACGAGGUGGCAUUUGUCUUAUUCUUGAGAUAUUAAUUGUCUUGUAUGGCUCAAGAAGAGAUACAUGGAAUACAAGAUGGAUCUUCAUAGACUCUGAUAGCUAUAAUCAAUAAGCAAUAAGAUUGACUUGUUCACUUAUAAGAAAAGGUCUAAGCCUAUAAUAUUUUAAUUUGUCACAAGAACAAGUAGUCUUGAUGUUACAAUGAAGUAGUUAUAUCUUAUGAUCACCUUUGAAUUGUGGUUGAUCCUUGUAAUAUGCAUCAAUAUUGAUCUUUUGUCUUUCUUGUACUUCUUAUAAUUAUGACUUCAUUGUUGCAUGUAGUUUUAGCAAAAAAUUCACCAAAUCUUCUAUUGCAAGCUUAUCAAUUUUUAAAAAGUCAAAAGUAUUAAAUUAUAGAUGAUAAUCAUAAUUAGAAAAGAAAUUUUUUUUUAUGAAUAAAAAAAAGUAUCAAAUUAUUAUAUGCAUACUUUGUGAAAGAUGAAAGAAUUGUCCAAUCAUUUGGAUAAUAUUUAAUGGUAUACUUCAAAUACUACUUUAGAACUUGAUUCACUCAUUUUGUUUACCCAUCAAUUUAAGGAUGAAAAGCCAAAAAGAACUUUAUAUCUACUUUUAAUAUCUUAAAAAGUAUUCUCCAAAAUUAUAAUACAAAUUGAAUCUUUUUAGUUGAUAUAAUAUCCUUGAAUAAUCCAUGAUAGCAAGAGAUAUUUUUAAAAAAAAGCUUAGUCAUUUUUUUAUUUAUGAAUGAUAUUGUACAUGAUACAAAAUAUACCAUCUUUGUAAAAUAAUCUACUAAUAUAAAUUUAGAAUCAUAUGAACUUAAGAAUAGAAGAUGGAUGAUAAAAUCCAUAGAAAUAGGAGACUAUAGUUGUUUCAAAAUAGGUAAUGGUUGAAGAAGUCUAUAAGAUCAAUCAUGAGGAGUUUUAGAUCUUGAACAAAUAUCAUAUGAUUAUACAAAGUCUUUGAAUGCCUUUUAUUUUUGAGGCUUCUAAAAAUCUUUAGAUAUUAGUUCCAAAGUCUUAUUAAAUCCAAAAUAUCUUGCUAUUGAAAAGUCAUGAUGAGCUUAAAGAACACGUAAUUGUACUUUGCCUUUUGGAACGUAUAAUCAUCUUUUAAAGUAGAGUAGAUUAUUCUUAAAUUCAAACUUAGAAGUAUCAUGAGACUUAAAAGAAUUAUCCUUAGUAUCAUGAAUAAGAAGAUCAAAAGACAUACUUGAUUGAAUUUGCUUAAUAAAUAUUGAAUCAAUAAUCAAUGUUGAUUUUAUUGCUUGAAGAUAAAAAUACUCUAGCUUUAAGAAAAUUAUACUUUAUUGAUUAGAAGCUACAUCUCUUUCUUUUGGUACAAGAUAAGAACAUCUAAAAAAAAACAUCUAUUAAACCUUGUUAUUACUUAGAUCUAUAGGUAAUCUUAAAAUCAAAAUUCGAUAAGAACAUAUUUCAAUCAGCUUGCCAACAAUUCAAAAUACAUGUCGAGAUAAAAUACUUGAGGUUUUGGUGAUCUGUAUACACAAUAAAUGUGCUAGAAGUGUUUUUUAGAUAAUGAUGCCAUUCUUGAAAUAUAUUUGUCAUUACAAAAAACUCUUUGUCAUGGAUCUUGUAGUUAUUUUUAAUUAUUGAUAAUUUCUUGGAACAAAAAGCAACUAAAUGGAAUUUGAUAUUUGCUCCUAUUUCUAAUAAAAUAACAUCCAUAACAAAAUCUAAUGCAUUUACUUCCAUAAAAAAUGCCUUAAUAAAAUUUACAUGAUACAAAAUUGAUGCAAAAAUAAAUGUUAUUUUUAAGGCUUCAUAAGAUAUUUCAACUUCUUUUUUCUAUGAAAUUUUAUCUUUAUAUGUCAAGCAUAUAAGAAGAGCUACAACUUGAAAAAAAUUCUUAAUGGAGAUUCAAUAAUAAUUGGCAAAUCCCAAAAAAUAUUAUACAUCUUUGAUGAUUUUUGGAACCUUCUAAUCCAUGGUAGUUUGAAUAUUUUUAGGAUCCAUCAUUAAGCCUUCAUUAGAAAUAAUGUAUCUUAAGAAAUCAACUUCAGUAGUAUAGAAUAUAUGCUUUUUAAGUUUUGGAUAUAAUUCUAUAUUUCUAUGUUUUUGUAACACACGACAAACAUGAAGUUUAUAUUUUUUUAUAUUUUUAGAAUAGAUUAUAAUAUUUCCUAUUAACAAACUAUAAAAUCAUCAAAAAAACUCACAAAAUAUAUCUUUUAUGAAAUGUUCAAAAGUAAUUGGUGCUAUUGUGAAUCCAAAAUGUAUAACACUAUAUUUGAAAUAUCCAUAUCUAGUUUAGAACUAGUCUUUUACUCAUUUCUUUUUUUGAUAUGGACCAAAAUGUAUGCUGCUUGUAGAUCUAUUUUUAUAUAGAUCUUUGCUUGGUUGAAUUGUUCAAAAAGUCCUAAAAUCAAAGGUAAUGAAUAUAUAUUGUUGAUGAUGAUCUUAUUGAGUCCUUGACAGUCUAUGUGUAUUUACAUAAAUCUAUCUAUUUUCUUCACAAAUAAUAUGAGAGUUCUUACUAGAGAUUUUGAAUGGCAUAUGAAGUUCUUAGCCAAGUUUUCAUCAAUACACUCUUUUAAUGCAUUCAAUUUAUUUUAUAUUAAGUUGUAAAUUGGUCCAAAUGGUGGUUAAACUCUUUCUUGUAGAUCAAUUGAAUAAUCAUAGAAUCAACACUUUGGAAGAAUAUCUAUAUUUUUUAUUGAAAAUAACUUAAAAAUCUUAAUAUUGGCUUCGAAUUUGGAAUUAUCUAUUUCUAUUUCACUAUUGAAAUUUUAGAUUAAACUGUAAGAAGAGUUAAGAUUAUAAGAAAUCCAAUCUAUUUAAGGAUUAUAUGUUUUUAAUGACAAUAUUUCUAAAAUAUUUAGAUUGGAAGAAGAUCUUAUCAUAUUGAAUAUUACAAUACUUUUAUGAUCUUUAAUUGUUACAUCUAAAAGAAAAAUCUCUUGAGUAAUUUCUCCAAAAGGCAAAAAAAAAAAAAAAAAAAAAAUCUAUAACUUCUUUAUGUAGAAAUUUGUAUUUCUUGAUUAAAGAUAUUUUUUAUUUUUUGACAAAGUCUUUGUCUAUAAAACAAGCUAAAGCUCCUAAAGUUAAUAACGCAAAGACUUUGUAAUUUUAAGGUACUAAAUACACAUCUAUUGUAAAAUAAGAUGAGGGAUUUGGAAAGAAAGUAGGACCUUUACUAAAUAUUGUAUAUGAUUUCAGCCAUACAGUCUCUAUUAUAAUUAGAAAAAAAAAUUUAUGACACAUUCUCUUCUUUGGUAAUCAUAUUCCUCAUUUUGUGGUUGCAUUACUUCUUUGGAUAAUAUUGUGCAAUGUACUUAGCUUCUCCAUAAUAUUAGUACAAAUCCUCUUGAUAAUGUUGUCAUGAUGUAAAAUGGCUAAUAUAUAAGGGUGAAGAAAAUAACAUAUUUUUGAAGAUAUUAUUUCAAAUAUAUUAUAAAAAAUUAUCUUGGAAAAAUAGGUAAUAGUCAAGGGAUAGAAAAAUUAAAGGUACUAAUAUUGCUUUUUUGUAAAAUAGGCUUCUACUCACUUUGUAGGGCCAUAAAUAAGGCAAAACAAAGUAGAUUGGAAAAAUAAAUGAUAUAGGCAUCUUUAAGAGGAAGUUAAGAGUAAAUUCUAGAAAAUAUUACCUAGAAAAACUACAUAUUGAUAUCCAAAGAGGGCCUAUUAUGAACCAGGAUUGGAAUCAGACCUUGAGGCACAAAAUCAAGCCUCGAUGACGAUUAUGAGGAUAUUUUGGAGAUCAAAGAGUAGGCUUCGAGUUCUGACUUAAUAAGUUUUUUUGAAGCAUUAGUUUUGGGUGAUUUAAGUGUGUAUUGACUUUGUAAGAGCUUUGCAAAGUUGGAUUUGUUUCAAGUGAUUCUAGAUUUGUGAAAUAAAGUGGGUAAUAAUUUUUGAAGAAUUUCCUAAGUUUGGCAAUAGAUGUGUAAGUGAAAUUUUGAGGAUUUGUGGGUAUAUAUGUGUUCAAUAUAUGCUGUGAGUUUGAGCUUGAUCAAAAAGUUGGAUCAAGGAUUAUUGAGGUUUUAGUGGGUUGGGGUCUCAAGAAGUAGAAUUUUAGAUUUUAUGAGGAUUUCUAAGAUUUACUGCAAUCUAUCAAUUGAAUUAGAGUAAAAGUUAUGUUAGGUAGUAGAAUUAUUUCCCUACAUGUAUGAGAAAUUUGCAAUCAAUCAAAUGGUUUAAUAAGGAGAUAUUGAUGCUAAAAAUUCAACAUUGAAAAUGGAAAUGGAAGCCGGCCAACAUUUGAGCAAAUAUUAGGGUUGAUCUUCUUUUUGAUGAAUUCGAUCUUCUUCAAAAAUUUUAUGCUUGUUGUCAAAUUAAUUAUUAAGAGGUGUGAAAAUUUUGAGUUAAUAUCAAUGGUCCAUUCAUUAAUUAUUCAAGUUUAAAUCUGCUAUAGGAAUUUCAUGGAAUUAUUUAGAGUUUGAUUAGGAUAUGUUUAGAAUUUGGUUAGGAUUUAUUUAGAGUUUGGUUAGGAUUCUUUUAGGAUUUGUUUAGCAUUUAAUUAGGAUUUAUUUAGGAUUUAUUGAAGAGUUUAUUAAGGGAUUGUUUAGGAUUUGGUUAGGACUUAGUUAGGAUUUGUUUAGAGUUUGGUUAAGAUUUGGUUAGGAUUUCUUUAGAAUUUACUUAGGAUUUAUUUAGGAUUUUUUUAGGAUUUAUUUAAGAAUUUAUUUAGAGAUUAUUUAGGAUUUAGUUAAGACUUGGUUAGGAUAUAUUUAGGAUUUGGUUAGGAUUUGGUUAGGAUUUGGUUAGGAUUUGUUUAGGAUUUAUUUAUAAUUUGGUUAGGAUUUGUUUAGGUAUUGUUAAGGAUUUGGUAAAGGUUUAUUUAGGAUUUAUUUAGGAUUUAUUUAGGACUUAAUAAAGAUUUAUUUAGGAUUCAUUUAAGAAUUAAUUUAGAAAUUUUUUGGAUUUGGUUAAGACUUGGUUAGGAUUUGGUUAGGAUUUGAUUAGAAUUUGAUGAAGAUUUAUUUAGAAUUAAUUUAGGAUUUAUUUAGGAUUUAUUUAGGAUUUGAUUAGAAUUUAAUUAGGAUUUUUUUAGAGUUUGUUUAGGAUUUGAUUAAGAUUUUUCUAGGAUUUGAUUAGGAUUUGAUUAAUAUUUUACUAAGAUUUGACUAGAAUUUUAUUAGGUUUUAAUUAAAUUUUUUAUUUUAAUAUUUUAUUAAUAUUUUUAUUUUAGUAUAUUUUUGAACUCUAUAUUAUUUCUUUAUAAUUUCUUUAAAGAUUCUUUAAGAAUACUUUGUAUUUUUUACAUAAUUUAUUUGAAAUUUUGAUUGAAUUUGAUUGAUAUUUGAUUAUAUUUGUUAAUCUUUAAUUAUAAUUUGUUUAAGAAUUUAUUAGAGUUGAAAGGACUUAUUGUUAGAAAUUUCCUUUUGUCUUCCACAACCAGGUGCCUAGUACAUUCUUAAGCCAAAUGCCACAUAAUAUGACAACAUCAAAUCUUUCCUUGCUUAGUGAAGUAUUUAAAAUGUAUUAUAUCAAUUUGUAUUAGUUUUCGCCUUCAUAUAUAAGUUUUUGAAAAUUUGGAAGCUAUCGUCAUUACUUGGCUUGUUCUUUUCUAGCCAAAUCUUUGUUCUUCACACCAUUUAAAUAUUAGAUUGUCGCAUGUAAUGGCUUUAGUAAUAAUUUAUUUUCAAGAUUCUAAUUUUGGCAUUAUCAAUAAUAAAUCUUUGAUGUUAUCUUUCAAUCCAUAUUAAAAUUGAUUGAUGAGGACUUUGUUCUUUUAAUCCACAUUAUAAGCAAGGUUUUAGAAUUUAAUAGCAUAUACAAUCUUAAUCUUUGUCAUAAAGAUAAGAACUGGGUCUUUACUACACUUUCUUGAUCACUAUCGUCAAAUAUAGCUAUAAAUACGUUUGAGAAUGAAUUCAAAUCAUAAAAAAGUCGUGAAUUUUUUUCCAUUAAUGAUGCAAAUCAAGAGUGAGCAUUUUCUAAUAGAAGUGCACUUAUGAGUCCAACUUAGAUAUAUUCAUUAGGAUAUUGGAAGAAAUGUAAUCUUACAUAGAGCUUCACUUGUUGCAGAAAUCCUCAAAGUUUUGAUCUCAUUCCAUCAAACUUAUUCGACAUACUAAUUUGUAUCUUUGUGAUACUUAUAGAAGCAAUACUUCUUAGAUUUGAUUGUGAAGUUGAUCUACUUGCUUCUUUAAACCAUACAAUUUCUUGACAUAGAUUUCGAACCUCAUUCAUAGUCAUAGAAUUAAUAUUUCACAAGGAAUGAUAAUCUAUUCUCUUCAAAGAGAAAAGAUUAGUAUUGGAAAACUCAAUAGUUUUUUUAAGGAUGGAUAAUGCACAAUCUUCAAAAUACAACAAUAGAAGUGGAAUAAUUCACUCACUUCUAAAAUAAGAUAAAUAUAAUAAAUUAGUAAUCUAUCAAACUAUCAAGGAUAUACACAUCAAAGAAUUAAACUAUCAAUAUAUGCUUGUGACACUCAAAAAGACUAAAAAAUCUUUCAAAGAUAAUAUAGAAUUAAACUAAAAUGGCUAUUGCCAAAGAUAAGAAGACUAUAAAGUCUUGAAAUAAGACUAAGGACUAAAAAGGCAUUGACAAGAGUGAGGAAGGCUUACAUCUUGCAUCUAUAUAUACUCUCAACUAAGAGCUACAUGGAGAUAUCAUAUUUGACCUUUAAAACAUGUUGACUUUGUAAGACAAGUAGCUUAACUUGCAAAGCAAGUUUUUCAUAUAUAUUACACAUAGUCAACUUGUUUUGUAAGCUAUCAAUACAUGGAUAACUUAUUAACUAAGUUUCUAUCCUAUUAAUCAAUUGUGAACAUAUAUAAAGUAAAAGUUGCAUCUAUAAAACUUUUAAGAAGCUUUCUUAGGAAAUAUGAUCAAAUAAAUCUACUUUUAUCUACUAUUUAAUCAUAUAGAUAAAUAUCAUAGUAAAUAUGUAUAUUUGUAACAAUUGCACAUGAUUCCAACAUCAUAGUUCUUAUUAUAACUGAAAAAAUAUAUUUUUUGAUCCAUUGUCAUUUUUGGCAAUUAUACUUCUCAUUUUGUAAUUAUAUUAUUUCUUUAGACAAUGUUGAGUUAUAUGCUUAGCUUCUCCACAAUAUAAGUAUAAAUCUUUUUAACAACUUUAAGUCUUUUUUUACUUUGUGAGGAGUUUAAUAGAUAUCAUAUCAAUUUGUAUUACUUUCGGCCUUGAUAAAUAAAUUUUGAAAAACUUUGGAGUUGUUAUUACUUGAAUUGGUUUUCUUAAGCCAAAUCUUUUUUCUUGAUGCCUUUUAAAUAAUCAAGUGUCACAUAUAAUGGAUUAAGCAAUAAAUUGUUUCAAAGAUUUUGCUUUUGGCAUUGUCAUUAUAGUCCAUGUUGCAAACAAGGUUUUGGAAUUUAAUAGCAUAUAUGGUGGCUAAUUGUGAUUUUUAUCAUAAAAAUAAGAGCUUGGUCUUUGCUAUUCUUUCUUGACCACUUUCUCUGAAUGUGGUCAUAAACACUUUUAGAAAUGAAUUCAAAUCAUAAAGGAUUUAUAAAUCUUUUUCCAUUAAAGAAGCAAACCAAGAGAAAAUACUUCCAGAUAGAAGUGCACCUAUGAAUCCAACUUAAGUAAAUUCAUUAGGAUAUGUAGAACAAAUGUAACUUUAUAUAGACCUUGAUUUAUUACAAAAAUCUUUGAAAUUUUGAUCUUAUUCCAUCAAACUUCUAGGGCAUACCAACCCUUGUCUCUAUUAUACUGGUAGAAGCAAAACAUCAUGAAUUUGGAUAUGAGGUCAAUUUACUUAUUUUCUUCAACAGCACAACUUUUUAAUAUAGACUUUAAACUUCUUCUAUGAGCAUAAGAUUAGUGUUUAUGUAAUUAGCACUAACAAUGCUUAAAAUUUCUAUCCUAAGAGUGUUGAUAAGAUCAUAAAGAUCUACAAUAGUUGCAAAUCUAUUCUCACUUUUAUAAAAUAUAGCAUCCAUGAUUUUUUCUUAAAUUUCAAAUAACUUAAUUAAUAGAUAAGUGAAAUUAAAAGAAAGUAAUUUACUCUCUUUUAGAAAAAAAACCAAUGUUAGAUUUUAUUUAUUUUUUUUUUUUUUUCAAAGAUAAGUAAUCUACAUCCUUCAAAUAAAUAUGUAUAUCUGUGACACUUAGUGGCAUUCUAAAUACAUUGGCUUAUUAUAAAGCUAUUGGAAUGUAAUUGACUUUUAUGUCUCCAACAAUUAUUUUCGCUCAAAUAAAAUGAUGUUUGAGUUUUAUAUGAUUUAUGUAUACAUGAAGAACUACAUUGUAAACUAACUAGAUGCAAUUUGGGUUGUUGCUUUGUAACAAUGUGGAUUGUUCGUCAUUCAUUUUUAGUUUUGUGGAUAAGCACCUUAGAUGCACGAUGUUCAUAGCUACUUCUGUAAAGUUUAGGUUUAUAAAAUUAGUAUCUACAUAGGAGGUUAAAGGUUUUGCAUCUCCAUAUUUAUAGAAUAAAGCAUAAUUGAAAGUCCCCUUAAUAUAUCAAAAUAUGUUUCUUAAAACUUUUAUAUUAGUUUCUUGUAGUCAAGUGAGAUACUUACUGAAACAUCCUAUUGCAAAUAUCAAGUAAAGCCUUAUAUUUUUGGCUCAAGUUAAGCUGCCAGUUAUGCUUUUGUGUAACUUAAGAAUGAUGAAAAGAGAAUUCAUCUCUGCUUGAAAUUGAAUACUUGAACUCAUCAAAAGUUUGAACAGAUUUUAGUUUUUCAUAUCAUAUUUCUUUAGAAGACACAAUAGAUAACCACAUUAGUGAACAAAAACACCUUAGUCUAAGUACACUAAUCCUACUCCUAGAUAAAGUACAAUCCUUCCAAAACAAAGACAUUUCAAAUUCUACUUUGAACAUAAACUUCACUUUGUCAAUUUCACGCUGAUUGUCUCUGCUGACAAAUAAGUCAUCCACAAAGAGUAGAAACACUGUAUAACUCUUGAGCAUAAGUAAAAAAUGGAGGUUUGAAUUAGAGGUGCUCCCUUCUAGAAUCAGAUUUCUUCUGAGAUAAGCAUAUAUGUCACUAUUUUAAACAAAAGGAGCUUGGUGCAGCCCGUAUAGGGCAUGUUUCAACCGAGCGACCUUCAAUUUUGCAAAUAACAGGUACAUGAGCAAUUGUAUUAUAUAAAAAU